rnacentral:lncRNA from 1 species
GGGGGAUGGUAAUUGCAACCGUUCGAGAAUUUACAACUUGGUGUGGGGAAUGUGCGAUAUCAUAUGAUAGUCUUCUCCUCUGUAACGUUCUUCUAGAAUAGGACAUCCCCUAAUACUCAAUUCCUGCAGUGUCGUCGUUUGAAGAAGGUGAUCUGGCAGCACAUUUAAUUUGGGGCAGCAAUCAAUUUCCAAGGAAGAAAGACGCGGCAUGAUGGAGAUGUUUUCCUUCCUCGUAACCCUGUAAUUCCACUCUUCCAAUUCAUCCAAGUCCUCAAUUUUGAGUGAUUUCAAUUUGGAGAAGGCAAUAACUGAUGAAGAUGAAGAUGUGUCAUCAACACUACUCUCUUCUAUUCCCAAAAACUCAUCACCCACUCUUUUUACACUAAUCAAAUUGUAUAGGGUGAGUUUUUCCAGAAGCAAUUUUCCCAGUGGAGGCAAAUGCUCACAGUUAACGCACGAGAAGAGUUUUAGUUCCCUUAGAUUGGUUAGCAAAGUCAACCAUUUGGGAAAAAUGUUGCCUCCGUAGAAUAUAAUCCAUAAUUCCUCUACAUUCAAAGGCGGUUGUAAGGCUUCAAGAAGUUGUUUAUCUUUCUCAUUCUUCCUCCUCCCUUCUUCGCCUUCCCCAUCUACGACUCUACCAAACUCAAGAUGCAAACGAAGGAGGUUUUUCUUAUUGUAAAGUUGUAACCUCUCAGCCUCAUCUACAUGCGAUACAUUACUCAGCCCUUCUACUCUACAUUCACGAAGGAGUUGAAGAUUUUUCAGAGAUUCAAGCCUACACGUGCUGCCACCAUCAACACCUCCACCCACAACAAACUUUUCUAAUGUUCGAAGGCUGGUCAAUCUGGAAAUCCCUAUUGGCAGGUACUUCAGCUUUUCAGUUUGACCAUUCAUUAAACUCCUCAUGUUCAUUAACUUUCCAAUCCCCCCAGGCAAUUCUCUAAGAUUUGUACACCAUCUAACAGCUAGCUUUUGUAAAUUAUAUAAUUCACACAAAGUCUCAGGCAGUCUCUCUAUACAUAAUUCAGAUAAAUUAAGAUAUUUUAAAUGUAUCAAUUUUCCAAUAUUUUCUGGAAUUUCUCUAAUGAAAUUUUUGUCAUCUAAGGGUACGAACCAUUGCCUUAUAACUAGUGCCCUUAAACAUGCCACUUUACUAAAUAACUCCACAAGGAUGCUGCCAUUAAGAGACGGACUGUAAGGACUUAAAUCAUAAAUUAAGAGGGUACGCAAUCUAUUAAAUUCAGGAGUGGACAUAGGAAAUGAAGCUCCUCCUUCAAAGUUUAACCCUAAGUGACGGACUUUCUCACCAAAAGAGUUUAUGACUGAUUCUUUCCUACUGUUAAUUUCUACCCACAAACAUUCUUCUCUAGUUACAAGUUGGGCAAAAUCAUGUACUAUGUCAUGCAUCUUGCAACUCAUAACAUUAUCAUCAUAAUCUUUCACAAACUCUUGAAAGAAAGAGCGUGUUGCUAAAAUGUUGAAAUACUCUUCUCCAAUAAUCUCCAUCUCUUCAUCUUCUUCUGAAUUAAGGUAACAUUGAGCCAUCCAUAGUGUAAUUAGUUCAUCUUUCCUUAUAUUGUAGUCUUUUGGAAAGACAGAACAAUAUGAGAAACAUCGUUUUACCAUAGAAUUGGAGGGCAAAUCGUGAUAGCUCAAUAACAAAGGAGGCAAAAGACCUUUCCCAAUCUCUUCCACCUUCCACAUUUCACUAUCUAAAAUUCUUUGCCACUCGCUUACUGUUCUUUUAGAGCGCAACAGAUUCCCAAUUACCUUUGCAGCAAGAGGCAAGCCUUUGCACUUACAUGCAAUUUUUCGUCCGAUUGGUUCUAAUUUUUCACAAUCCUCAAAGGACCUACCUAGAAAUGCUACCUGCUUAAACAGUGACCAACAUUCCCCUUCACCCAACUCCUUGACAGAGAUAAUAUCUAUUGAUCCCAUUUGGAGUGCAACUGACCUAUCACGUGUGGUAAUUAGAAUUUUACUCUCAUGGUGGCCAUUCUUUAGACAAGAAAAGAACGGGUCCCAUUUUUUGUAAUCUCCAUCCCACACAUCAUCCAAAACAAGAAAAAAUUUCUUCCCCCUAAUAGAUUCCUGAAUCUGUUGCAUAAGAGAUUGGAAUUCGCCUAAACUAGAAGCAGAUUUGUCUAAAACCUCAAGAAUUGCUUUAGCAAUCCUAAUCUCCUCAAAAGCGUCUGAUACACACACCCAUAUAACUAUGUCAAACUUUCUUUUCACCCCCUCAUUGUUGAAGGCUAGUUGCGCAAGGGUUGUUUUACCUAUACCCCCUAACCCAAACAGUGAGAUGAUACGAAGGCCUUUUUGUUGUUCGCUACUCUCACCUAACAACUUGCUCAUUUUUCUCGUCAAUUCUACCACAAAUCUCCCCCUCAUCAACCAAGGAGGUGGUUCGCACUCGCUCUGGCUUCUUGACAUUGUUACUCACAUUCUCAGCAAAUUUAAACCUAUCUUUUUGAGAGGUAAUAUCAUCCAGCGUUUUAUUGAUUUCUCUAAUCUUGACAGCAAUGUCAUGACGAAGACUGAGUUGUUUGAAACUACCGAAGCAGUUUGAGGCAGAAGGAAAGAAGGAACAUACCUUCUUCUUAUGAGCAGCAAGAGCAAGAGUAUUGUCAUCGUCAAGGCCCUCAAUCUGCAAUUUGAGCCUUGCAGUGGUCCACUCCUCCAACACAUCUUCCAUGUCGUAAGAUGCGUCUUUGAGCUGAUCCAGCCAAAAAGUAACAGCUUUGUCGUGCUGCAUUUGCCUUUUCUCUGCAUCUUCCAGCACAAGUUGAAUGGCUUGAAGAUUGCUGGUAAGCUUUUUCACUUCUUCUCGGACACCAGUCACAAGCCUCACCUGUUGUUUCACUUCAUCAGCCGCAACAGAGAUCAGCUGCUCCAUGAGAGAGGAAACGAUCGCAUCAACCAUUCUGACAAAGAAGACGAGAAUUCUGAAGAGUUAUUAGAUGUGCUUUUGUUGCGAUGAUACUGAAAGAAAAGGAGUUAUUGCAUUCUUUUAUAAUGCAUAGAAAAAGUUUAUGCUUAUCCCCACCCCACACGUCAAUGAUUGUAGAAUGUUUAAUUUCCCUGAUUCUACUCCACUAGUUGUGAUGCGUAAUUAUAAAUAUUCUCAAAUUAUAUAUGAAAUAGCACAAAUUUGGAUCUAGUAAUGAUUUAUAUGAUUUCUGUGUGUUCACUUUUCCGUAAUCUUCUACUAUAAGGGUUCAGAUUUAAUUACUAAUUUAAAAAAUAAGCACAAAAUAAUAUCAAGCAUUAAUGUUAUUAGUAAUACUCAAAUUCACAAAGGAAUAAAUAACGAAAAGAAAAAAGAUUGGAAAAAUCAUAUUGGUAAAUUAGCACAUUGUUUUUUUAAUAAUCUCAAUAAAAUUAGUAAUACUCAUAUUAGUCCCUAAAACAUUAUUAUGUAUAAGUUAAAAAAUCUUAUUAGUCUCCAUGAUCAAUAUUUAUGGAAAUAUUUUUGGCCUAGGCUGAGAAAAAAAUUCCUAGUUUCAUCACUAGUUAACCUCAAGUAUACAUCCCAUAUACACACACACACACAUUCCUUCUCGAGUGUGGGCGCCGUCAUUUUUUUUUUUUAUAUGAACACACUUUUAAGCCACAUGGCUUAAUAGAGUUAAUUUUUUAAUGCUAUUAAACCACGCGACUUUAAAGUAUAUUGAAAAUUAACUCUAUUAAGUCGUAUGAUUUAACAGAGUGUCUGCAUUAAAAAAAAGAAAAAAGAAAGAGGUUACAUAUAUAUGCGGGAAAGGUCUAAGAACUUUUCUGUACUUUAAAAUUUUGGAUUAAAAAAUUUAUAUAUAUAUAUAUAUAAAGAGUAAUGAUAUAACCACAAACUCUUGUACAAAUUUAUUUUGUACAAACUGAUGUAGCGUUAAUCUAUUGGUUGAAUUAAAUAUCUCUUGGCCCACAUGAUUUAUUUAUAUUAUUUUAUAUUUUCAUUCAACCAAUGAAUUAAUGAUACAUCAGUUUGCAUAAUAUAAGUUUGUACAGUAGUUUAUGACUGUAUCAUCACUCAUAUAUAAAUUCUCUCCCGCAUACAUCCACGCAAAAUAGAGUCCGAAUUUGACAUUUCACAGUCUUAAGAAAAUAACUUUCACCACUGCAAAACUAUCAACGAUGGCUUAAAACACUAUGCUUACAUGUUUCAUGUGGAAAUCUAUGAAGAGAUAACGACUAUAUAUAUAUAAACAUAUCUUAAUUUCUAAUAAGAUAUUAGCCAAUGUUUAAUCAACAUUUAUGCAAAGGGGUCCCCCCUCUUUAUUUGGAGGAAUUUGGCACCAGAUGAAAAAUUUAUGCUUAUCCCCAACCCAUACGUUAGUAAUUGUAGUAGCAUCUUUUAAUUUCCCUGAUUCUACACCACUAGCUGUCGUACAUAAUUAUAAAUAUUCUCAAAUUUGUCGCAUCUUUAAAGUAUGAACACUGGUUUUGUCCAUGUCACUUUUUCUAUCUUAUUGCAAUAUGAGGUAGACGAAUUCAGUUUCUUCAAGAUAUGGGAAACGAUCGCAUCGGCCAUUCUAAUAUUAGAUUAAAUGCUAAAUGUUACAAUUGUUUUUGUUGCGAAAAUGCUCAAAAGAAAGUAGCUUUUAUGAAUUCUGUGAGAAUGCUCAUUCAAGCAUUUUUUAAUUCUUCUUAUACUACAUGAAACAUUGAAUUUUUACCCUUGAGUCAAUGUCAAUGAGAAUGCUUUUGUGCUGGAAAUCAAAGGAGUCCCCAAAGGAGUCAUCGUCUGGGGCUAGCUUUCUGCACCACCACGUCAAUAAUGGUCUAGAUCUCCCCUGUUUCUCUGAUUCAUAAUAAUUGUGCAGACUACUUUGCAUCAGCAUUCGUAAAAGUUCUUACUUUUCUAAUUAGUAACAAAAUAUUUGUAAGCUACAACAUAAAACUUAUAGCAAUCUAUCGAUGAAUCUUCUGAAUUCAUAUUUAAUAAAUUCGAUAUAAUAUAGUCAUUAGUUUUUUAUUAUAAACAUCAGUAUAUUUUUUAUGAUAUAACAUAUAUUGAUGAAACUAUAUAAAGCAAUUUCGCCCUAUUAUAUAAAUUCAUUAUGAAUUUCAUCACAAAUUUGUAUGCGAUCGGGACCGUGCAAGUGAGAUUUCAGAUAAAAUCAUCUCCUGACAAUUUAUUUAAUAUUUUACUUUUCAAUUUAGCUUUAACGUAUGGCCGACAACUUUUGUUAUCCGGAAGGCCAAAUCAGUAUCAUAAAGUAGUGAAUCUGUUUUAGUCCACAGUCAAUACAUAACUUCAUUAUGUUUGCAUGUCAUGAUAAAAUGAGAAUUGUUAAAUAUAAUUUAGUAAUAAAAUUACUAUAAUAAUAAUUACUAUUAUUAAUAUAAUGAUUAUAAAUAAUAUCAAUAAUAAAAAUUUUAUUAUUAUCAAUACUACUACUAUUAUUAUAAUAAUAAAAUAAAAUAGUACUAAUUAUUUUGAUAAUAGUAAUUAAUAAUAAUAAUAACAAUAAUAAAAAUUAUCAUCAUCAUCAAUAAAUUUUUCAUAAUAAUAAUAAUAUAUAAAGAAGGAAAAAAUAAGAAUUUUAAAAUUUGAGUGGGAGUAAUAUUGUUACCUCAGGAAAUGGGAUUCCCAUUUGCACCUCCUCCCAUAGGAAUGUGAACUCUAGUAAUCACUCCUUAUUUUAGUUUGGGCCAAUCACUUUUAUUCAAAUUCCUUCUCUCAUUCAAUCAAGUAAACAUAUCAUUAAUUUAAUUCCGAUUACCAAUAAGUAAACACAUUUAUUAUAGUGGUGAUGCCUUUUUUUCUUAUAUAAAGACAAAUGCAAAUUCAUCGGAGUCAUUUUCAAAUAAGGGUUUCUAUAAAUAAUUUUCUUUUUUAAACUAAGAAAAGAUAGCAUAUUGUCACGGACCACUCAAAUUUACCACUAAAGGAGGCCAAACUAGCCUGCCAAGGUGAGCUCAAUAAAAGACUGCCCAAACACGAAGUAUGCUAAGUAGAAAGGUGCGCUCAAUCCAAAACCCAAGGUAACCAAGUCCAAUCCAAUUUUAGAAAUCUCUACAAUACAAUAGCAACUGUAAAUAUCUAAAUAAUUCUACAGUUGCGUACUCUAGAACUUAGUAGAUAACUAGGCAAGUUACGCAAGUUGCAUAGAACUCUCUAGAUCUAGGCAAGCCUCCCUAUAAAUAGGGCAUGGCAUCCACCAUUUUGCACGACACCACACACCAAGCAUAAGUAGAUCAAGCAUACUUGUAAUGCUCUCUUGUAUUCUCUCUUUCAAGUAAUAAAAUUCGUUUUGGCUACAUUGCUCUCUUCUCUCCAGCUUUUUUGCAAUCAUCUUUUCUUAGCUAGUUUGAGAAGUUCGAUAGGUUUAAUUAGCAAUUUUUGUGCUAGAAGUUAUUUAAGUGUCACAUGGAUUGCUGUGCAAAUUAUUUAUGCCGUGACAAUAUGUUAUGAUUAUUAUGAAUUUUCCACCACUUUAUAUAAAAUCCUCUAAUUUAUUUAAAUUGUGAGUCAUAGAAGUAUAUUACCCAAAUUGUUCUAUUAUCAUAUUAAUAUAAUAUUUUUGUGUUGACACUUGUAAACAAUUGAAAAGUUUUGUUUUACUAUAAAAGUGUAGCAUCUCUGCAUGUAAUAUCAUCUCAUUUUUCCUCAAACAAUAUUACUAGCAAGAGAAUGGAAUUAGAAUUCUCCAUCUCAAAGUUUAAGUUGUUGGUUAUCAACACUUUCUUCAUGUUCUUUGUAUAGUUUAGAUACUUCCUAAUUAGAUUUGCAACAUGUUAUCAAGACAACUUUACUUUGAUUCAAGAAAGUACUCAAUUUCCUAUGCUCUCAUUUCAUAUGUUUAUUUACCAACUCUAUACUUAUACGUAUGUUUUAUAGUCACUAUUGAUUUAGAGUUACAUCAAAUAAAAAAAAAAAGGUGAGUGAUCUUCUAUUCUUUUAUGUAGGACAUUAAUGGGGUGAGAUGGGGGUGGAGAGGCCUACCUCAUUACCCACCCCAUUAAAAGUUUUACCUUUAUUCCUCAUCCCAUUUCCCAAUAAAAUUCAGUGGAGUGGGGAUGAAGAAUUCUCAUGUGAGGAAUGAUUUAUCUAUUCCUACCCUAUUCUCCAUUUACUUAUUUUAUAAUAGGUAUAGAUAAAUGAUUUCAGUAAAUUAAAAAUUAAAAACUUAAAUAAAUUUAUUAUCAUAUUACAAAUGAUUUAAAUUGUUUUAAAAAAUCUCCAAAAGGUUGAAAUAAUAUCUUGAACUAAUAUUAAAAUUAAAAAAUGUUUGAAGAGUAUAGUAUCUUAAGAGGAAAAAGAAAACAUAAGAAUGCCUUUAGGGUUAAAUAAGUAUUAUAAUGUAGGGUUUUCUUUUAGUUAUAACUUAUUUAUAUUAGGUAAAUAAAAAGAAAAUUUAUUAACCAACAUUUUAAUUGAUAAAAUAAAAUUAUUGAAUAAAAACUAAAAAAAUAUUCAUUUAUAAUAGGAAUUGGGGUGGGGAUGGGGUAGGAAGUACAAAACCAACCCCACCCCAUUAAGAAUUUGAAAAUUAUUUUUUCCUCAUUCUCUACCCAUUCUUCAAAAAUUAUUUAAAAUUCACCUCAUUUAAGGUGGAGACUAUCCUAUCAGUACUUUCAUGGCAUGAAAUUAUUAUGCUCCGUGAUGAUUAUUGAUUUGUCUAAUUUUAGAUGAGUUAUUAUUUUGGAGAUCAGUGCUUUUGCUGCUAUGCUGAAAGAAAAGGAGCUAGAUUAUUCUUCUUUAUACUGCAUCAUAAAAUAUUUACUAAUAGUCGAUAUUCUAUCAACAACUAUGCAAAGGAGUCCCUACUGAAAAGCUGAAUUUAGAAUUCAAUGAAAGUUUUAAUCAUUGUAGCAUCUGUAAUUUUCCUGUUUCGACUUCACACUUUGUGUUACAUAGUUGUUAACUAUAAUAUUCUCAAAUAAAUUUGCAGUGGUCGGGCCCGUGCCAGUCAAAAAGAGAAAAAAUAAAACAAAAGUUGGAAAAUCAUGCAGCCGACCACUACAAAUUAAUUUAAAAAAAGUAGUGGAAUAUUAGGUAGGCGAAUGCGGUUCAUCGUUCAUAGGUCAUUUAAGAAAGUAAUCGCGCCCUAAUUAUUUUUUUUCUUUUAUCUAAUCAAGAAAAUGUAGCAUAUUUUUUUUAUUGAUUUGCAAUUCUUUAAAAAAAAUGAAUGAUUGAUAGAUAAUAUUAAUUUUUUAAGUUAUUUUAAUUAUUAAAAAAACUAUUACAUAUUUUAUUUAUAAUAUUAUAUUCAUAUUUAUUAUAGAACUGUAUUUUAGGUAAAUUUUAGUUGCUGUGUUUGAAUGAAUAGAUACUUAUUUAAUUCUUAUAUUUUAAGUUAUAUUCACGUUUAAUCUUUAUAUUUUAAAAAAAUAUGAUAGGACUCCCCUGAUGUUAAUAUCUUACACUAUCCUGUUCUUACCUUUUAUUUCCUUUUUGUUUAUUUUUUGUUUCCUAGCUUUUUACUCCACCACAUCAAUAAUUGUAUAGCUUCUCUGAUUCAUAAUAAUUAUGCAGACUACUCAGCAUCACCACUUGUAAAAUCUCUUAUAUUUGUAUUUCGCAAGUUGCAGCGCUUAAGAUAAGUAAUAAAAUAUUUGUAAACGACAACAAAAAGCUUUGAGCAAUCUAUCUAUGAACAUUCUGAAGUUUAAUAUAGUAUAUUAAUUUGAUCUAGAGUGGUCUCAGUAGGGAGAUUUUCUGAUUAUAAAUAUUAAUAGACAUUUAAUUGUUUGAGAAGUCGGAGUUAAAUCAAUUCCAUAAUCAUUUUAAUUAAUUAAGAUGAAUAUCAUACUAUGGAUUUGCCUCGUAUUACGAAGAAAAUGUACGAAAGAUAGUUAAGGAACAGCUUUUUUGAAAUUUUUUUCCAGGAGCUGAUAUUAUAUUAAAAAAUUGGGUGAAAAUAUAAGCUGAUAAUAUAUUAAAAAAUUGGGUGAAAUACAAGUAAAGGUAUUGCAGACUGAUCCGUUUAAGCUUGUGAGAGGACUCGUCGGUCGUCAAUUAUUUUCUCUCGUUCUUGGGAUACAUACAAGAAAAAAGUUCGAGGUGAGUUAUUAACAGUAAACCCAAACUGCCCUAUUUUAUUAAUAGCAAAUAGAAUAUUAGUACUCUUAAGGUGAGUUUUGACACGCUGUAUUUAUAUUAUGGUUUAUUUCAUCAGAAUGUACUACUUUGAGUUGUGAUACAAUACUAAAUUUGAUGUAUAUAAUAAAAUAAUAUUAUUUUUUGUUAAAAUUAAAUUAUUUUUAUUUAAAUAUAUUAAUAUUUAUUAUUAUUAAUUUUUAAAGAAGAAUUAAAUAUUCUUGUAUUUAAUUUUAUAAAUAUAAAAAAUUUAAUAGUAUAUUAUUACUAAUUAAUAAGAUAUUACAAUACUAUGUUAUUUUAUUAAUUCUAUUAUAUUACAAUAUAAUUUUAUUUAUAUGUAUUACUUUUUAUAAUAUAGUAUAAUCAUAUUAUAAUAUGGUAUAAUAUGAUUAUUAUGUAAUGAAAGUAAAAUAACGUACUACCAUUUAUUUAUUUAGGUUCAUUACUAUCUUAUAUUAUUAUUACUUAAAUUAAAUUUUAUUUAAAUACAAAUAUAAAUUAAUAUUUAAUAAAUAUAAAUUUAAUAUAAUUAUAAAAUAAUAAAGAUUAAAUGAUUAUACUUAAAAUAUGAACAAUGUUUUAAUACAAUACAGCCUAAAUUCUAUCUCCGCUUAGUUUUAUUUUUAUACCUUUCAUUGUAUUACCUAUCUUUUUAAUAUUGUGCAAUGCAACUAGAAAUUUCAGCCGAAGGAGGGUUAGCAUAAGAACCAUCUUUUUAAUAUUAUGAUGUAUUGCAUUAUUUAAUAAGGGUCAUUGUAUUGUCACUAUAUUAUACUAAUAUUGUAUGAUGUUUUGUGUUCCACUGUAUUGUAUUAUCUAAAAUAAUAUUUUAUAUAAUUAUUUAUGUGAAAUUAAUAUUAUGUAUAUUUAUUAAUGCUUUAUAUCAUUAUUAUAUCACAUUUAUUAAUUUAAUUUACAAACAAAAAAAUAAAUCACUGACAGCCACAUCAACCAUCGCUAAUCACCACGAAUCAGCGCCGACACCACAUUUUGGUUUUAUUUGAUGUUAUUUUUGGUAUCGUAAAAAUCCUCAUCGGUGGAGGACUGCAACGUACAUGUUUCACUGGAAAUAGAGCUUCCGGUCACUGGAGAUCUAUAGACAAAGUUUUGAUGUUCAAAAUUUUGACCAUAGAUUUAUGGCGAAAGGAACCUCGGUUCUGAUCAAACAUAUAUUGUUGUAAUGCUCAAACAACGAGAUCCAACAAUACUAAAAUAAACUCAAAUAGACAUAUAAAUCUAGCUGCCGAUUUUUGCGAGAGUGAUUUCAAGCAGUUGCCAUUGCCGAUUAAUAUUAAAUAGUAAUUAUUAUUGAUAAUAUAAUUUUAUUAUAUUAUUUUGUAUUUAUAAUAACUAAUAACUAAAUGUAAAUUCAUAUUAUAUAUUUUUAAUUAUUUUUUAAUUUUAUUAUAAUAUUAUAAUAUUAUAAUAUUUUCUUUUCUUUUUUAGUUAGUGUGCAGUUCUAAUAUGCUUCGGUGCUUGCUGCUUUAAAUUCGAAAAUAUAAACUUAUUAUUAUUUUAUUUUUUAUUAUAUUAAAUAAUUAUUUUAUAUAAAUAUGAUGUGGUAUUAUUAAAUAACAUAAUAAACUUGAAAAUAACUAAAAAUACAUAAUACGAAUUUACACUUAUUUAUUAAUUAUUAUAGAUAUAAAAAUAAAAUAAAAGGUAGAAUAUAAUAUAAAUAGUAUUGUAAUAUAAUAUAAUUUUAUUAAAUUAUUAGUUCGAUUUUAUAUUAAUUAUCAAUAGCUUUUGCUCAUUUAUAUAGCAAAAGCUAAUGCGUCAACUUGCGCAGUGCACUAACUCCAGCUCCCCCGGGUUUGUGUAAUGCACCAAAAUUUAUAAUGUGGGCAUUAUAGACAGCUCCACAACGCAACUUCGAAAUUUGCCAAACAUGGGUUGGUAACAAGUUUUGAAGCCCCAAAAGUUCAAUAAACAGUACCUCAGUGCUUGAAGCUCUAAGUUACCAAAAAUGAAAUCAAUUUUGAAGUCAUUGUUGUUGCAAAACAAAAGUGUAAAGGGAAAGUUGACGAGUGUUUCUUAAACACUACUAAUUGUCAAGUUAAAACUGUUUGGUAUGCUAUUUAGAACUUAUGCUUUAGUAAAUAGUUGUGGGCAGUAAUCGGUUACCUUGCCAAAACCAAAUUGCAAUUAUUUACUAAAACACUUAUCUUUGGCAGCAGAGUGACCAAAAAGCUCAUACAAACAGCGCCUCAAUCCAGCUGGGUUAAGGGUUCCAAUGAAAAGUAAAUUUUCUCUAACAGACACACUUUUCCUACAACUAAGAUUUAUUCUGAAGAAAUCUCAAAAGAUUUAUUCUAGAUAAUGUAAAGCCGUAAAUGUGACACAGGCAUGUUUUAGAUUUAGUCCAAGAGACAAGUACAAUCCAAGAUUAUGACUCCAAUUGUUUCAAUUGAUUGUAUUUUUCUAGACAUAAUUAAAUUACGUAUAAAAUAUAUAUUGUUAGAAAGGUGAAUAUGUCUAGUUUUUGAAGAAUUUUAUGGAAUUAAAUUCAAACUUCUGUUCUUAAAGAAAUUCAUGACUUUGUCAAUGAAGGUCACAACUGUUAGGAAUUCUACACAUAGCAAAAAAGUUUUGAAUUUACUGGCAUUAAUGCAUCAAGAUCUAAUUAAGAAGCUUCAAAUCAGUGAAAAGCUUUUGAGUCAAGAGUUCAAUGAAUUUUACAUGUUUGAUUUGGAGUUUUCUACAUCAAGAUAUGAUUAAACGAGUGUUGACUGCUUACACUUGCGGUUGAAACCGACCUUGAUAUCAAAUUGUAUUUUGCUUUGUUUUCUUUCACCUCAUGAUAGCUAAGACCUGUUAUUCAAAUUUGAUUUGAAUUCUAAAUGAUAGAGAUCUUAUCCUAAGCUCGGAGGGAUGUUCCAAGUUGUCUAUACAAAAAAGUAUUACAUUGUAACUUUACAAAACAGGGUGAUUAUGAGAAUGUAACUUAGAAGAGUGCUCUUGUUAGGGUUUCUUCAUGCAACUCUAUAUCUCUUGGUUCGAUUCCUUAGAGUGGUGAGUUGAGAAGUGUUGGGGAAAAAUUAGGUUUUUAAAUUUUUAUAAAACCUUUUGAAGAUCGCUCUCAUAUAAUAUAUAAGAAUUUGUAUUCUAGAAAUCGUACCUUGAAAAUCCGAGUUGGCUUUUUCCGCUGAAGUGAUUUAGGCUCCUAGAUCACGAUCUGCCACCACCACUCCUGUUAGAUCACGAUCCGUCACCACCACGCUUGUUAGAUCACGAACUGUCACUAAUGAUCUUCCAGGUUAUGACUCAGGUUCAAUCUGCACUUGACGUGUGGGCGCCUUUAUCACUACCAAAGCAACUAGCACGAGAAAAUUUUUCUCUCAACAAUAGAGAGAAAAAUCUUAUUCUCUGAUCUGUAUAAAGUGGUUUCUCCCUUUUCCUUUAGAGAAAAUAAGCCUUAUAUAUCUCCCUUUAGUGAAAACCCUAGGCUCCAAGAAUGCCCAAAAUAAAACUCACGUUACUUUUCAUUUAAUAGGGGACCCACCAUGUAAAAGAACAUAAGGCCCCUUACACAUAAGCUUAUUAAAUGGAGCCUCCCACUAAAUGAUAUAUUUAGGCUUUUGACCCAAAUAGCUAGUUAUCUUGCUUAUUAGUCCAGUAGUGGUGCAGUCAAUUAAAUGAGCUAACCCGGGGAUCAUUUGGGAACAUACAAUAGUGGCUAUAACAAUUAGGCCUGUAAUUAAACUAGCCUAAUUAUUUAAUUCCAAAUCUACUCCACUAAAAGAUUGGAACUGACUUCCAUAAUUGUAUGCUCGAAUAAUAAUUCGUCCCAAGCCACAUUGAUUUCUUUAGUGCACAAUCCUUUGUACCACAUCGUUAAUUAAAUUGAUAUCUCAACUGUCCAAUCAAUUUAAUAACAUCUUAUUCCUUGAUCCUUACUGGUUUUCUCUAAUGAUCAUUUUCAACAUACUAAAUAUGUUGACACACUCUGGCCAGAGAAUUCUAUGAUCAAGUGCCGAAAGCCCAUCAAGAGAUGUGUUGUACAAAUUCUAUAUUGUUAAUCCAUAACUCCAAUACUCAUAAUUGCUCCCACCAAGAUACCGAGUAAUCUUGACCACAAGGAUGUGUCGUACCCAUUGGUAACUCAAAUGGAAUAACAAUUAAAAUCAUGAAAUCAUAAUUAACUCAAGAUUAAGAUUACAGUAAAAUCAAUGCCUAUGAGAUUUAAUAAGUCUGGCAGUUAUUACAAAGUUAAUUAAAUCUCAUAUGUGAUCCUGUUCAAUGUAGUCGUACUACAUCAAUAAAUUCAUACAUGAUUAAGACAAAUCAUUCAAUGAAUUUAUUACAGUCUAUACCUAAAUAAAGUACCCAACUUUAUUUAUCAACUGCGAACUAAAUUUAUUUAAUCAUAAGAUAACUUAUAUUUAUGUCUUCUGUGAAUCCACAUGGUGAUCACAUAAAUACAUAUAAUAUGAUUAAUGGACUUUAAUACAAAUAUUAAUGCAAUUAAGAUAUUUGAAUAAAAUACCUCAUCUAUUUUAUUAAUCAGAAAAAUUGUUUAUUACAAUUAAAUAAACACAUAUGCUUUUAAAGAGCAUAUUUUCCCAACAAUCUCCCACUAGCUCUCAAAGCAUAUUUGGCAUCUCACGCAUGCCCAUGGAUUCUAAGUGCAAGUUAAAAGGUUUCCCAGGUAUGGCCGUAGUAAAAGGAUCUGCCAAGUUUUGCUGUGACGCAAUAUGAGUAACCUCCACAUUACCUCUCUACACUAUAUCCCUUAUAAGAUGAUACUUCCUCUCAAUAUGUUUUUGUUUCUUGUGGUUCCUUGGUUCCUUAGAUUGAGCUACCGCACCACUAUUAUCGCAAAAUAGUUUCAGGGGUGCAGUUACAGCAGGUACCACCUCAAGAUCUUGUAGGAACUUGCGGAGCCAUACAGCUUCUUUUGCAGCUUCGGAUGCAGCCACAUAUUCAGCUUCAAUUGUGGAGUGUGCGAUACAAGAUUGUUUCACACUCCUCCAACUAAUAGCUCCACUUCCCAAUGUAAACACAUAGCCGGAAGUUGAUUUUCUAGAAUCCUUAUCUGACAUAAAGUCAGAAUCAGUAUAACCCACUGGAAUGAGUUCAUCACCAGAAUACACAAGCAUAUAAUUUUUAGUUCUUUUCAGAUACUUCAUUAUAUGCUUGACCGCAGUCCAGUGUUCAGGUCCAGGAUUAGAUUGAUAUCUACUAACCAUCCCUACUGCAAAACAGAUGUCUGGCCUAGUGCAAAGCAUGGCAUACAUGAGACUUCCCACAGCUUCUGCAUAGGGAACUCGUCUCAUUCGCUCUAUCUCUUCAGAUGUUUUAGGUGAUUGAUCCUUAGAGAAUGUAAUUCCAUGUCUGAAUGGUAAUAAACCAGUCUUGGAAUUUUCCAUGCUAAAUCUAGCCAAUAUCUUAUCGAUAUAAACCGCUUGAGACAAGGCUAAAGUUUUAUUCUUCCGGUCUCGUAGUAACUUGAUACCAAGAAUAUAACUUGCCUCUCAUAGGUCUUUCAUAUCAAAUUGUUUUGCUAACCAAUUCUUUAUUGUAGUCAAUACUCCUAUAUCGUUUCCAAUUAGGAGAAUAUCGUCUACAUAAAGAAUUAGGAAGGCUACAGAUUUUUCUUGAAUUUUCUUGUACACACAUGGUUCAUCAAUGUUCUAAAUGAAUCCAAACGAUUUAAUCGCUUGAUCGAAUCUGAUGUUCCAUGACCGGGAUGCUUGCUUCAAUCCAUAAAUGGAUCUCUGCAACUUACAUACCAUGUGUUUUUGGCCUUUUUGUAUAAAUCCAUCUGGUUGCUGCAUGUAGAUGUUUUCUUUAAGAUGCCCGUUAAGAAAGACAGUCUUGACAUCCAUUUGCCAAAUUUCAUAAUCUAGCACUGCAGCAAUGGAGAGCAGAAUCCUGAUGGAUUUAAGCAUAGCAACCGGAGAAAAUUUUUCCUCAUAAUCGAUUCCCUCUUUCUGAGUAAACCCUUUGGCUACUAAUCUUGCUUUAAAUGUUUCCACCCUUCCAUCUACUCCUCUUUUUCUCUUGUAGAUCCACUUGCACCCUAUAGGUUUUACCCCAUUUGGUGCCUCUACAAGUUCCCAGACUUUAUUGGAAUACAUAGAUUCCAUUUCUUGAUUCAUGGCUUUUUUCCAAAAUUCAACAUCUCUAUCUAUUAGAGCUUCGUUGUAACUAGUGGGAUCUUGUACAUGUUCAUCUGAGAUAGCCGUAUAGGUUUCUCCUAAAAGCAUGUAUCUCGCAGGUAACCUAGUUACCCUCCCACUACGACGAGGUUCUAAAAGUGAUGGUUGUUCAGGGUUAAUCCUGUGUUGAUCAUCUGGUUGUUGAUGUUCUUCCUGUUCUGUAACAGGCGUUGAAAGUUGAGCAUCAACUUGAUCACCUAACAGUUCUUCAAGUAUUACCUUACUCUUAGGUUUGAAGUUAUUCAUAUAGUCUUCCUCGAGGGAAGUGAAAUGUGUGCUCACGAUCACUUUCCUAUCUUGAGGACUAUAAAAUAAACCUCCCCUUGUUCCUUUGGGAUACCCCACAAACAUACAAACUUCAAAACGUGAAUCCAUUUUGUCUGCCUUUGGUUUCAGCACAUGUGCUGGUGAUCCCCAAAUACGGACAUGUCGUAAACUUGGUUUGCGACCUGACCAUAAUUCUAUUGGGGUUUUAGGCACUGACUUAGAUGGAACUAAGUUCAAAAGGUAAACUGCAGUUUCCAGUGCUAGUCCCCAAAAAGAGAUUGGUAAUGACGAAUAACUAAGCAUAGAUCUCACCAUAUCCAAAAGAGUUCUAUUUCUUCUUUCAGCUACCCCAUUUUGUUGUGGUGUUCCUGGGGCAGUCAACUGAGAUAUAAUCCCAUUUUCAACUAGAUACUCUUUGAAAUCUCCUGAGUGAAAUUCACCACCUCGAUCAGAUCGAAGUUUCUUUUGUUCUUAUCUAAUUGCUUUUCUGUCUCAGCCCUAUACUCUUUGAAUUUCUCAAGAGCUUCAGACUUAUGACGCAUCAGAUAAACAUAACCGUAUCUUGAGUAAUCAUCAGUGAAAGUGAUGAAAUACUCAUAACCUCCUCGAGCUUGUACAUUGAUUGGUCCACAUACAUCUGUAUGUACCAAUUCAAGUGGUACUGUUGCACGUACUCCUUUAGCCGAGAAUGGCCUUUUGGUCAUUUUCCUUUCUAAACAGGAUUCACAGAGUGGCAAUGAUUCAUUUUCUAAUGGACCCAAGAGCCCAUCUUUGAUCAUUCUCUGUAUCCUAUUUUGGUUUAUAUGACCCAAGCGUAAAUGCCAGAGGUAACAUUGGUUGGAAGAAAUAUUUCUUUUCUUAGAUAAAUGUGUAUGCUCAUCAUUAUUUAUCACUGUGUCAUGCAUAGAAUGGAUCAUUGGACUUAAAUGAUAUAAAUUAUCUUCCAAUGUACCAGAAAAAAUAAGUCUCUUAUUCUGAAAAAUAGAAACAGAGGAUCCAAAAUUUACAGUGUACCCUUGCUUUGACAAACAAGCUACUGAAAUUAAAUUCCUCUUAAUGUCUGGAACAUAAAGACAAUUAUUCAAAACUAAAGUCUCAUUAUUAAAAGUUAAUAAAACAGAUCCAGUCUUCACUGCUGAUACGAACUGUUCUGUCCCUAACUGCAGCUUGAUGCUUCCUUCACUUAUUUUCCUGGUUUCCUGAAACCAAUAAAGUGAAUUACAAAUAUGAUUAGUUGCUCCUGAAUCCAACACCCAAGUGUCAAUAGGAUUCUGAACUAAACAUGCCUCAAUUACAAAAAGAUUUCCCAUACCUGAUUUCACAAUCUUAGGGCAAUCCUUUUUCCAGUGACCUUUCUGUCCACACUUAAAGCAUUUGCCUUUCGGCUUGCCAUCUUGCUUGGUAGACGGUUUCUUUUUCCCAGCUUUCUUCUUACCUUUGCCUUUCGACUUAGGCCCAGAAGAUGAACUUUUUUCAGUAAUAUUUAUGCUUCCCAGAGAUUUCUCAGCAAGAUAGAUCUCUUCAGCAGAAUGGAGUUCGUUCAUCAAUUCAAUUAAGGUCAUGUUUCUUUUGUUCAUGUUAUAAUUGACCUUAAACUCCUUGAAUGUUUCUGGUAGAUAUUCUAGCACCAUGUCAAUCUUUGAGUUAUCAUCGAUUUGUGCUCCUUGAAUCUCAGCCUCAUUCAAAUAGUCCAUCAUUUUGAGGACAUGAUCACGAACUCUUGUGCCCUUCCCCAUUUUACUGUUCAUAAUUCCUUUCAGUGUUGCUUGUCUCGCUGAGCGAGUACUCUGCCCCAACAUCUGUUGGAGACUAUCCAUUAUUUCAGUGGCAGUCUCCAAGUUCUGAUGUUUGGUCUGCAGAAUAUUAGAAAUCGAGGCUAAAAUGUAGCACUUUGCCAUUUCAUUGGCCUUUCGUCAUUUCUCAUAAAGCCUCCUCUGAUUUCUAUGAGCAUCAUCCGCUGGAACUGGAGGGCAUGGCUGGGUUAAGCCAUAUUUAUAAUUUUCAGCAGUCAGGACAAUGAAUAGAUUUCUUUUCCAAUCUAUAUAGUUCUCUCCAGUGAGUUUGUUUUGACUCAGAAUAAUAGUAAGUGGGCUCAGGGAAGAUAUUUUCUGAAAAAUAAAACAUCCAUGCAUAAAUAAUUUGAAAUAAUAUUCACAAUAAAUGACAAAAAUGCAUAAAACCAUAAAUGCAUUUUAAUUUAUUGAAACGAUAAUCUAGUUCCACUUUGACAAGCUAUCCGGUGGGGAAGUCAUGUCUAUACUUACUAGACCCAAUUACCCAUUGGAUUAUUUACUUUCAUGUAGAGACAUGAUAAAUAAUUAUCAUUAUCUUUUUGGGCCUAAAUUUGCUAACAGAGCUUCGUUGGGAAGGUUAAUAACAAAUUUUAGUUGAGUGUAUAACCAUUGUUUCAAUCUACGUAUUUUUCAUAUCAAUAGUCACCGUUGCGGUGAACAAUCGAUUGAAAAAUAUUUCAAUUUUAUCUUUGAAGAAGUUCAUCAAAUAAAAUAUCUAAUAUAUAUACCCUCCGAAGGGAGCAUCACCGUAUCAUGAAGUCGAGGUAUAUAUAUAAUUUUAUUAUUGAACUAACAAUAGAGCCCGUGGGAAAAUUAUCUUGAAUUUUCCCUCUCCCACUCAAUAUUUUAAAAUUGGUUUUUUCCUUUUUAAAACAUACAUAUUGUUAAUUGCAUGCUUCCUAUAAUAUUAUCUAGAUGAUAUCAAAUAUUAUUAAGCAUACACAAAUUUCAAACAAUAUUAUGAAAUUCAUUAUUAAUGAAUGACAUGUAUCAUUAUGCAUAGAGUGGCACUACCUAUUCUAUAUGACAUUGUUAUCAUGGCAUGUGAUCAUCCAAAACAUAACAUAUAGAAAAACAAUUAAAUAAUCUUAAUUCAUGGUUUUCCUAAUAAUGAAAAAUACAUUAACCCUAAGCCUAAUCUUCAUUGGGCUUCUUGUCAAUGUCCAUCUUCGAUAAACUUGUCUUUGUUAAUGGACUAAGGGAAAUUGGGCUUUUAAAUUUAUAAUUGGUCCAAUUUUAAUUUUAAAUAAAUAAAUAAAUAAAAUUUUUUUAUUAAAAUAAAAUUUUUGGACCAAAAAUAAAUUUAAUGUAUUUAAUUUUGUCUAUGCAUUUUAAUCCAUUAAGCCCAAUUGAAAUUGGGCCUAAAACUAGGAUCCAUUAAACCCAAAACUAUUUUUGGAUUUAAACGUAAAAAAUAAAAAACGUUUCUGCCCAACUGAAAAAAUAUGAAACUAUAGGGACCUCCACGAUAAAAACCAUGGAACCCUAAAAUCACAUUUUUCUUUUCCUCCUCUUCCCCAGCCGCCACCAGCAAAAAAAAACAGCCGUUGUUUACUGUUUCCACACCGGACAACCGUCAUCAACGCCGGAAAGACGCCAACCAAAACGCUCCGCGCCUCCAGCCCACGUUCACGCUGCUGCUCGAGCGCUGCAGUUGCUGCAUGUGCAGCGCGCGCUGCAGCUGCUGCGUGUGCAGCUCGCACUGCUAGCAGCGUGGCUGCUGGCUGCUGCGCGCGCUGCUGGCAGCAUGUGCUGCUGGCCGCUCGCUGCUGCGUGCGCUGGUUCGUUGCUACAGUUUCCAACAAGUUUCUGCAAUUUUCCAGUGAUUUACAAUUAUCUGAUGCUAAUUUUGGCUUACAAAAAUUUUUAUUAGGAUAAACUAAAUCAAGAGGGGAGCAUGGUGAUAAAAGACCACCCCUCUUGUUACAGAUCCAAAGAAAAAUUACAAUGAAAAAUCUAACCAUGAAUUAAGACAAAUCAUAAACAUGUUUUAUUCAUAUAUUAAACAAAUAAUAUACAUCUGAAUAAAUUGUGCCACUCUAAUACAUAAAUAUCAAUAUUGAUUUCAUACGAAAUUCUUAUGUAUUAAUAUGAGAUGGGCUCUGAUACCAAUUGUUGGGGAAAAAUUAGGUUUUUAAAUUUUUAUAAAACCUUUUGAAGAUCGCUCUCAUAUAAUAUAUAAGAAUUUGUAUUCUAGAAAUCGUACCUUGAAAAUCAGAGUUGGCUUUUUCCGCUGAAGUGAUUUAGGCUCCUAGAUCACGAUCUGCCACCACCACUCCUGUUAGAUCACGAUCCGUCACCACCACGCUUGUUAGAUCACGAACUGUCACCAAUGAUCUUUCAGAUUAUGACUCAGGUUCAAUCUGGACUUGACGUGUGGGCGCCUUUAUCACUACCAAAGCAACUAGCACCAGAAAAUUUUUCUCUCAACAAUAGAGAGAAAAACCUUAUUCUCUGAUCUGUAUAAAGUGGCUUCUCCCUUUUCCUUUAGAGAAAAUAAGCCUUAUAUAUCUCCCUUUAGUGAAAACCAUAGGCUCCAAGAAUGCCCAAAAUAAAACUCACGUUACUUUUCAUUUAAUAGGGGACCCACCAUAUAAAAGAACAUAAGGCCCCUUACACAUAAGCUUAUUAAAUGGAGCCUCCCACUAAAUGAUAUAUUUAGGCUUUUGACCCAAAUAGCUAGUUAUCUUGCUUAUUAGUCCAAUAGUGGUGCAGUCAAUUAAAUGAGCUAACCCGGGGAUCAUUUGGGAACAUACAAUAGUGGCUAUAACAAUUAGGCCUGUAAUUAAACUAGCCUAAUUAUUUAAUUCCAAAUCUACUCCACUAAAAGAUUGGAACUGACUUCCAUAAUUGUAUGCUCGAAUAAUAAUUCGUCCCAAGCCACAUUGAUUUCUUUAGUGCACAAUCCUUUGUACCACAUCGUUAAUUAAAUUGAUAUCUCAACUGUCCAAUCAAUUUAAUAACAUCUUAUUCCUUGAUCCUUACUGGUUUUCUCUAAUGAUCAUUUUCAACAUACUAAAUAUGUUGACACACUCUGGCCAGAGAAUUCUAUGAUCAAGUGCCGAAAACCCAUCAAGAGAUGUGUUGUACAAAUUCUAUAUUGUUAAUCCAUAACUCCAAUACUCAUAUUGCUCCCACCAAGAUACCGAGUAAUCUUGACCACAAGGAUGUGUCGUGCCCAUUGGUAACUCAAAUGGAAUAACAAUUACAAUCAUGAAAUCAUAAUUAACUCAAGAUUAAGAUUACAGUAAAAUCAAUGCCUAUGAGAUUUAAUAAGUCUGACAGUUAUUACAAAGUUAAUUAAAUCUCAUAUGUGAUCCUGUUCAAUGUAGUCGUACUACAUCAAAAAAUUCAUACAUGAUUAAGACAAAUCAUUCAAUCAUAAGAUAACUUGUAUUUAUGUCUUCUGUGAAUCCACAUGGUGAUCACAUAAAUACAUAUAAUAUGAUUAAAUGGACUUUAAUACAAAUAUUAAUGCAAUUAAGAUAUUUGAAUAAAAUACCUCAUCUAUUUUAUUAAUCAGAAAAAUUGUUUAUUACAAUUAAAUAAACACAUAUGCUUUUAAAGAGCAUAUUUUCCCAACAAGAAGUGCGGUAUCUCUUGUAGGAUAUCAUUAGAUGGUGAAUAUCUAUAUCCUUUUGUAAUCCUCUUAAAUGGUGAGCUUUGGUAAGUUAGAAUGCCUUGUAUCUCUUGUAAGACAUCAUUGGGUGGUGAAUAUCCCAUUGUAAUGAGCUUUGCUCUUGCCUUAUCUACGUGUGUGUUUUACUUAAUAAUGAAGUUCAGUUUAUAAUUAGGCCAACAUCAAAAUGGCAUUAGAUGUUUGUUGUAUUCUUCGCUUUCCUUUGAGACAGUCCAAAAUUUGCUAAAGUUUUCACAACAAAAGUAGGAUGUGAUGUCCUUUAUAUAUUUUUGUUAGAAAGGAAACAGACAAAAUGCAUUUAGCAUUGUCAAAGCAAGGAUAGAACAACGCAAAUUUUUUUGACAAAUAGAGCACCAUUUGAUUUGGAAGAAAAGCUGGAAUAAUAAACAAGCAGAGAUCAAAACUGAAAUCAACCCAAAAUCGAAGAAGAAAUGUGGAAAGGAUACCAAUACAUUGGACAUUUGAAGAUACAUAGUCUGAAUGUUAGACUGAGUAUAAGUAACCUCCUAACCAAACUAAUGUUAUGAAUUGGUCAAUUUUAUUCUCUGUAGGUCCAUGUUCGAACAUAGGGAAGCUAAAUGCCCUUUUAACAAUACCUUCUUUAAUUCUGCCUGGAAAUUGUGAUAGGACUUUGGGCUAAAUUAGGGCUGACUUUUAUUGAUUAGAUCAAAAGAAAGAACAAUCCUGACCUACCUCUCUCAAAACUCCUAAUUAUUCCUAUCACUAGACAAAACUCAACAUAAAUCCUAAAUGACUCCUUAAUCUCUUAUUUAUACCCGAGCCAAAAUUAACAAUAAAUAAAAUUACUAAACUGGCCCUAGCCCUAAAAUUACUAAGUUUUUCCCACCCUUUAUAAAAUUACUAAACUGGCCCUAUCCCUAAACUGACUUUUAUUGAUUAGAUCAAAAGAAAGAACAAUCCUGACCUACCUCUCCCAAAACUCCUAAUUAUUCCUGCCACUAGACAAAACUCAACAUAAAUCCUAAAUGACUCCUUAAUCUCUUAUUUAUACCCGAGCCAAAAUUAACAAUAAAUAAAAUUACUAAACUAGCCCUAUCCCUAAAAUUACUAAGUUUUUCCCACCCUUUAUAUUUGCGGCUAACAUAAGUUUUAUCGGUCUAACAUUACUCCUCUCUUAAAAAUACACCUCGUCUUCAAGGUGAAAUAAAGGAAACUGCUGUUUUUUCUUCCUUGGCUUCUUCCCUACCUUCCUUCUCAUCACACGUAGUUAGGACUUGUAGUGAUUUAUCCUUACAUCGAUGACUCGAUGAAAAUUUCUCAUCGCAUUGAAAAACAACCUCAUUGUCCUCUUAUCUUGAAUCUAUGUCUUUGUGAGCCAUUUGAAAGUCACCCCUAGUUGUGCCCGACUAACCCGAUCCCUUUAGGAAUCUCUUUAUAACCCCAUCAUUUGCAUUUUUUAGCCUUCUAAUGGUGUGCUUUGGAACUUUGGCUGAAACCCCAAAGUUUGGGUUUUCUGUCCUAUCAAUGGUGUGCUUUUUUGGUAUGAAAAACAGACUAAACUGCUCAUAUUACCCCGUUCUAUUGUGUUCUUAUCAUUAAUCAUCUGUGCCAGCUCCAUUGACUCCUCUAACCCUCUCUACCCUAACAAGUGUAGUGAGCUCAAAUUUCUGGCUUCAGUUCCUUCAUAAAUUUCCCUUCCAAUACUGCCUCUUGGAUUCCCCCAAAUACCCUGAUAGCAACUCAAACUUCUCCUUAUACUCCAUGAUUGGUCUUUCCUAGGUCAGAGCAAAAAACUAUUCAGACAAAUCUCCCUUUUGAGUGGCUUGAAGCUUUUCUAAUAGUCGGUCCUUGAAUUCACCCUAUAAAUCAAUGAUUGUCAUUGUUCUCGCCAUUGAAACCAUGCAAGGGCCUUUUUUCCCAAGCAUAACGCGGCCGUCGUCAGCUUUUUCCUUUUUAAGAGUCCAUUCAUGGUGAAAGAGUGCUCUAUCUUAUACAUCCAACCAUAGGCAUCCUCACCUUCAAAAAUAGGCAUUAUCAGUUUCCUUACCCUAGAAUCUACCCCAAAUUGAGUCUGUCCCGCCCGAUUUCGCACUAUUAGAGGCCUCUAACCUCUCGAAUCUACUUCAAUUUCACAAAUCUUGAGACUUAGCCCCAAAUUCUCCUAGUCUAGCCCCAUAUUAGGCUGAAAUCCCUUGCUCAAUUGUUUUCUGGUAAAAACCGCUCUCUCUCACAUCGAAAACCCCUCUUCCCGCCCAUCCGGCCCUAAAUCCGAACUAUCCAGACCCAAAAUCGCCCUGCCUUGGCCCAAAGCAACCCUAUAUCUUAUGUUGGAAAGAUAUAUCAUUUAAAUCCUACUAUUUCUAAAAUAUAACUAAUUCAAACUUUAUGUGUGUCAUUAAUUAAAAUCAUCCUCUAAUCUAUUUUUUAGAAAAUAAAACAAAAUCUCAAUAAUAAUAUUUCAUAAAACAAGCAUAUUUCAUGUUAACCCAACCAAAAACCAUCCGAAAACCUCCUUCUACUCAUAGUUACAAAGAAAAUCUCACCCCAAUCCAUUAAAAUUGUCAAAUUUAAACAAAAAUUAUAAAAUUUGAAAUAAAAAUCCCAAAAUUUAUAAAAAACGAAAAUAUUUUUUUUCCCUCUCUUUUACUUUCUUCAUAUUCUUCGUUCUAUUCCCUGUUCAUCUUCUUCUUCGUUCAUUUUUUUCUUCUCUUUCACACACUUAACAAAUCCACAACCACUGUUAAUUUCAAAUCAGCCCAGCAAAACCCAUGUCUAUUGCCUGGCAAAAGCCAUGGCCUCGCACUGCCAUGUCCAGCAAAACCCAUGGCUACGCUAGCAAAAUCAUGGCAGCUGGGCACGGGCAUUCCAAGCAAGCCCAUGGAUGCAUGCAGCCAUGCCAAGCAAACCCAUGGCUGUGGGCGGCCAAUCCAAGCGAGCCCAUAGCUACGCGUUGCGACUAUUCCAAGCAAUCCCAUAGCCAUCAGCAACCAUUCCAAGUAAGCCCAUAGACGUGCGUAGCCAUGCCAAGCACACAUUGAUCCAAUCAAAUGGUUGUUAAUGUUGAGAGAUGAACAAAAUCUGAGGUUAUGACUAUGUUCGACAUGUCGGUUAUUCAACCUGGUAAUAGAUGAUGUGUCAGUUAUCUCGAGUAAGGAAGCCAUAUGACAAAGUUGUUCCGUCAGUUGAGUGAAUAAGUUGAGCAGUUGAUACAACACGUGCAUUACUUACUCAAAACGGUAGAUGAAGACAGCAUUUCUGAGGUGAUUGCAACACGUGUCCAAAAGCUAGUUUAAAUGGCUAGUAAAAGCUGUUGAAAGGCGCGGGAAAUUUCUAGGUUUGUUGCUAACAAACCCAGUAACGUUGAGCUGGCUUCUGGGGGUAUUUCUAAAAGCAAUUUCGUGUUGUAUAAAGCCUUGUGAGUUGUUAUAUGGGAUUAAUCCAGAGGGUGACAGUUUCUCAGCUUCUUUUGUAUCUUGUAAAGGCCAGAUUAGUAAAAAAGCUUGCUUUCCUUUUCACAGUGGAUGUAGGUCACCUAUGUGGAUAAACCACUAUAAUCCUUUUAAGUCCUUGUGUGUGUGUUUUUAGUUCUUUAUCUGAUUCGAUCUCUGAUUGUUUCAGUAUCUGUGUCUUCAUCAAGAUUGUGUUGAUUAUUAGCCAUUCUUAGGUCAAAGAGAUUUUGAGAUCUUAGGGGAUCAAGAUCGGUUUCUUACUGGUUUUGGUCCAGCAGUUAAUAAUUUUCAUGAUUAGUCUGGUUUUGGGGUUCACUAAUGAAUUUGGGAAGAAGCUAAGAUUUGUUGAAAAGGAGAUGAUGGGCCAAGACUUGGAAUAGUGGCGUUGCUGCACCAUCGCGUAGCUCCAAACUUCACUGCAAGUUGCUGGCAUGGCUACUAUGGCCUUAUGAUGCUUGGCGAAGAUGAAGCGUGGAGAACAUGUAGAAAACGGUAAGAAAUAAAAAAAAAAGGGAAAAUGAACCGAACCAGAUAAAGAAAUUAACCAGAAAAUAAAAAAAAGAAAAAAGUUAAAAAAAAUUAUUUUUCUUAUUUUAAAAAGAAAUAAUUUUUAUGCUUUUGCAGUUAAAAAAUUAACUAAUUAAAAAAUAAAAAUUAUAAAUUUGGGUACAAAUCGAAUUUUAUUGAAAUGUUUGAGUGUGCAUUGAAAUUUGUUGAAAUAUUUGGGCCAAAUGGUUCUUAAGAAAGAGAACUGAAUGUGAAAUGAAUUUUGUAAUCGAAUCAAAACGAAUCAAAAUAUUUCAAUUUGGUUCGAUUCGGUUCAAUUUUGAAGUUCAGUUCAGGUUCAAUUCGUAUUAUGCCAAUUUGGAAAACACUUCUAAGAAUCAGAAACAAAAAUAGAAACAUCAUGAGAAUUCAAAAGGAAAGAAACUGAGAGAAAAGAAACGAAACUCCAUUGAGCCAAAGAACAAGAGGCAGGGGUCUAUGUGUAUAGAGAGAAUUCAAUCACACAAGAACAAGAAACAAAAGUGGAGACAUCAUGAGAAUUCAAUCACCGUGAGAUUGCGAGGGAGAGACCAGAGAGUUUGUUGUGCCGCCGCCGACCUUGAGAGAGAUGGCUGCCGAUUUAGGGUUAUGAAACAUUUAAGAUUAGGAAUUGAAAAAUGAAAAAAAAAAUUAUUUUAGGCAUUAUAUUUUAAAAUAAAUAUAUUUUUUAAUUAAGUUGAAGCGAACCGAUCAGUUUGUCAAUUCAAACUAAACCAAAUACAAACCAAUUGAUUCGUUUGUUUUCAAACCAUUCGGUUUCUAACUUCUAAACCGAACCGUUGCCCGCCCCUACAUUUGGGUUUUGUGGAAAUUGCCUUUUAUGUUUUGACUUCUUAUCCAUGAGUUGACUGUUAAGAGAAUGUACAAAUAUAAUUUUAUGCUUUCAGUAGUUAAAUUUAAUGGGAAGAAAACAGUAUUUGGGGAUAAGUUUAAGUUUUUAUACUUUUAAGGGGUAAAUUGAAGUUUGUCAAUCUAAUAAGGGAUAUAAUACAAUUUACCCUUAUUUUUUACUCUAAAAUAACAAAUUAUUACUUAACUAAACAUAUUUCACUAAUGCUCCUUAUUUCCAACCAAACGGUGGGACUUGGCCUUGUGCCCAAAAUUCAUAAUCUAAUUUUAGCUGAUGUGUCAUGUGUGCUGCAUCAGAUAACUGUAGAUAAUAAUAGCUAACACAUUAACGAAAAUUAAAAAUACUAGUUUACAAAAUACAAAUCCGAAUUUUGUGUGUGAGGGAAUUUAAAAAUGGAGAGACUAAAAAAAUGUGGUGACAAAUGACAUUUAUUACCAAAAUUGAAAAUACAAAGUUUAGGCAACUGAAAGCAUCUCUUCAAUUGCAUUCAACCAAUUACCACCAUUCAUAAUUAACCAAAAUCAAAUAAAUUAAAAAAAAAAAAACAGAAAACAAUCACAACACUUUGAUCAUCCCUGCUUCUUCUUCUUCUUAGCAUAGCUCUUGGAAUAAAAAUUAACAAAAAGUGCCGAAAGGGACGCAUUAAACACAGCGUUGAAGCACCAACCCCAAAUCCCAGGCAACCAAAACCCGUGAAAUGAUAAUACAGCAUCAAAACCGAAACAACAAAACCAAACACAAACUGAACAAUCUGACAAUCAGUGACCAAUCUCUUCCACUUUGGCCGCAACCCCAUCACACACAACAGAUAGUACCCGUACAUGAUCACAUGCACACUUGCAUUGGUGACAAGUGCAAUAGGAAACAAAGACUGCUUCGUCUGUAACCAAAGGUAGCACAUUACAACGCGGUUGUAUGGUGGUAGACGUGGAGGAACGUGAGCCGUUGGACGGAGUUUGACAAAAUGAUCAAAAGGGUGUCUAAGAAUUCGAGUAUUUUGGAGAGGUAGAAGAUGUAAGCGUAGAAGAAGAGAGGGCCAGACAGAGAAAUGGCAGGGGGGAAACAGAGGGUGUAAUGGAGGUGGGGUAAAUGGAGGAUGAUGGAGAGAGUGCAACCAACGGCCAUGAUGAGGGAGAGGAGGAGGACGGUGAGGUUAUGGACGGCUAUGCUGGGCUUGAGGAUGUGGGUCCAAUGAGAGGUGAUGAUGGUGGUGAUGUUGAUGUUGAUGCGUGGUAGAGGAUGAAUGAGGAAGUGUGGGGAGGAAGCUAGUGUUUGGUUCGGAGUCCAUGUGAAGUUGAGGAUUUGGGGGUGGUUUACAAGCCAAUAUUGGAGUGUUGAGGUAAUUGAAUAUGAAGCCAUGGCUGGUUUUUGGGGGAAAGAAAGAUUUGGAAGAGAUGAUGUUGAGAGGAACGGGGGAGUUUAUAAAGUUUUGGGAUAAUGUGGAGGGUAUUUUGGACAUAUUGUUGUCUUAGCUUAAAUUUUGGGAAAAAGAUAGUCAAUAAUAAACUCUUUUUUCAUAUCAAUUUAAAACUCCGAGUGUGUUUCCAAAACUUGUUUUCCUUUUUCCGUUUUAGAUUUUAAAUCGGAAAUUUAGUAAAGGAAGUUAAAUCAAGUGAUCACUCUUUUGUUUUUCUUUCUUUUUUCAUGUAAAGCAAUUAAUAUUUUUUGUGAUUUAAACAAAUAUUGAGUUGGGUACUUUAACUAUAUUAAUAUUUGAUUCGAAAUUUCAUCUACCGAAACUACAAAAAUUAAUAUUUUUUAUUAAAUCAAAACUAAAAUUAAAAGAUGAUUCAUUGUCUGUCAACUGUCAUUAAACGAAGCCAUCACUCACACAAAAAAAAAGUGAUAUGUUCAUUUUAACGUAAUUUCAUACCAACAUGUCAUUCUUUUCUUUCAAACAAUGACCUCUUUAAUUAUAAAAUAUGGUAAAAGAGUAAUAAUACAGUAAUACAGCCACAAACUCUUGUACAAAUUUAUUUUGUAAACUUAUGUGGCGUCAAUUUAUUGGUUAAAUUAAAUAUCUCUUGGCCCACAUGAUUUACUUUCAUUAUUUUGUAUUUUCAUUCAACCAAUGAAUUGACGUCAUAUUAGUUUGUACAAAAUAAGUUUGUAUAAAAAUUUGUGGCUAUAUCGUCACUCAUGGUAAAAAGGGAUGGGUUCGAGGUAUGGCAUCCAGGCCUUUGUGACAACGGCUUCUUUGGACGUGGGUGUCAUUAGAUUUUUUGCUAUUAUCAUAUCAUCAGUUUUUUUUUGGCUAUUUCUGCUCAAUCAAACUUGUGGAUUACAUGCACUCAACGUCAACAAUGGAAAUGGGAGAAAAUUAAGUUAAUAAAAUCAAGUAAGUCAAAUAAGGUCCAGAAUAUACAAUUGCGUUUAGUGGCAGGAGGGUACGCAAAUACAUGGGAAAGAACUAUUUUUAGUCCAAUUUCAUGUUUGGAUGUUGAGGUUGAUAUGGAAAGGAUGUGGCUUCCCACAUAAAACCCACCGAUUCGUUCUAAACUAAGUGAAUUUAUCUCGUGAGCUAAGUUGGUUUAGGACGUAACUCAAAUAAUUAAUUUUUUAUUAGUUUAGUAAUAAAAAUUUGGAUUAUAUUUUAAAACUAUAAUUCAACAGAAAAAAAAAACUUAAUAAAAAUAACUGUUAUUUAACAUAUUAUAUUUUUUCAAUAAUAAAAUAAUUCAAAAUAGUAACAUCUCAUAUGGAAAGGAUGUGGCUCCCACAUAAAAAUAACCCACCGUUUCAUCCUAAACUAAGUGAAUUUAUCUCGUGAAAUAAGUAGUUUAGGAGAUGACUCAAAUAAUUAAUUUUUCAUUAGUUUAAUAAUAAGAAUUUAUAAUUAUAUUUUAAAUCAUUAAAAAAAUACUUAAUAAAAAUAAUUGUUAUUUAAGAUAUUACAUUUUUACAAUAAUAAAAUAAUUCAAAUUUUUUUAUUACAAUAAAAUUUGUAAUAUAAUUGAAUCAUACACUACGUCACAUAAAAUACAAAAUAGUACUAAAUGUAAUCCGUUUCGUUCUAAACAAAGUGAAUUUAUCUCGUGAGCUAAGUAGUUUAGUAGAUAACUCAAAUAAUUAAUUUUUUAUUAGUUUAGUAAUAAGAAUUUUCAAUUAUAUUUUAAAAAGUAUAAUUCAUUGCAACAAAAAUACUUAAUAAAAAUAACUGUUAUUUAAGAUAUUAAAUUUUUACAAUAAUAAAAUAAUUCAAAUUUUUGAUUAGUAUAACACUAAAAUUUGUAAUAUAAUGCGUUCAUAUACUACAUCACAUAAAAUAUAAACUAGCACUAAUUAUAAUCUUGUUACAACCAUUCCUAUUAUAUUCUAUCACAUCAUAUGCUAUCAUAUUUCAUCCAGCAUGUCAAACGUGCAAAGUUUAAGUAAGAUUUGUUAAAGUUGAGUAACAUCUCAUAUGGUCAAGCGCGUGGAGUAUGGACUUACAUUAUCGAGUGGGUACAACUAAAGUCGGGUAAAGUUUGGUGAAUCUUUAUAUAUAUUAUUGGGGUUGGACAACCAUAUCUUUUAAGCUAUAUAAUUAAAUAAUUUUGGUAAACAUUUGCUAUUGUGACUUAAAAAUUAAUUUGAUUUGAGCUCAUACUUUAUUAUAAAAAAAACUUAUAAUAUCUUUAUUAUUUUUAUUAAAAUUAUUAUUUAAAAGUCAUAUAUUUGUUACACAUUGUCAUUUUUUUUUUCAUUAAUAUCGAAUAAGACCUAAGUUGAGUAUGAUCAAAUAAUUUAAGUUUUGAUUUUUAUUCUACAAAAUAAUCAUUAGAUAAUUAGUCUGUAAAGAAUAUCAGCUACUUCAAAUGGAAAUUUGUGAUCAAAAGUGUACCACAGAAGUGACAAAGACACUAUAUGAGAAAUCUGAAAUAGAAUUUAAUAUCUUAGAAUAUACGACGUUGCAUCACAUAUGGUAUUUAGACAUCAAGAAAAGAAUCCCUCUAUCUGUGAACCACACUUGCCAGGAAAUUAACACCAGGGGAAUACCACCAAAAUUGGGCAAUUGACUACAUCAACUCCAACAAAUUUAUGCAGACACCUUCCUCCAGACCAUCCUCUUUCUUCGCGCUUUAGUUGCCCCUAUUUCCCAUUAUCUUGUUUGACGCCAAGGAGCCCAAGCCCAGAAACAAUGGCAUUCUUUGGUAUCAACCACCUGGAGACUUUGGUAUCAAGCCUGUUGUGCAAGGCUUCUUCAAAAGGUCAUCCGUUGAUCUUUCUCCUAAUUAGACAUUCAAAACCCUGCAUGGAAUCCAUUUGAGAAGUUGGACAAUAGACAAACUCCAACACAUAUAGACAGUAAAGAAGAAUUCAGACCGCGAUCACUGUGGCUGAACAAAUGGGCCUAUUAAGCCUAUUAAAAGUUGGAACCAUAUUCACCACUCGCAUUUCCUUAGAGAACUAUAUCAGAAUUCUGUAAAUUGAAAACUAUUCUUACAUAUUUAACUGAAAAACAAGAGAAAUUAUACUUCCGUAGCAAAGUCUCACUAUUGGUAAGUAUCUGGACUUGGAAAGGAUGCUAGUUGAUUAAGUAAAGGAAAAUUGAUAGAUAUAUACACUUCAAUAGGAACCACAUUAACAACUUAUGAGACAAACAAACAAAUUCCCCAGUCAAAGUUCAAAAAACGAAACAUUAAAAUAAGAGUAAUUUGGUCUAUCAAUGUAUACAUAGAGAUGUCGAUCAAUAGACAAAUACGUAAAAGAAGAGGGAAUGACCUCAAAGCCGUGCCUAAGAUCAGUGCUACUCCAAUAACUUCAAAAUGGUUGGUGACCGCUCUAUCAAAUCCACACAAUAGCUGAUAUCUCAUGUUUGCAUAUAGUCCAAUGAAAGCACCAUAACCAAGCACAUUAGUACUUACAGAUGGGAUUGUCACAGACAACCUGUCAGGCAGAUGGCCCAAAUUUAACAAAUGUUACACUGGCUUAGACAGCAAACAGAACAAUCUUCUAAGUUUACUCUAUUUAUAACAAAUAAGUGAACAAAGGAAUGAAAAGGAUGUUUGGCGAAGAAUCUUGCAUCUUAUCAAGUGGGGAAAGCCUUCGCAACAAAGAUGCUGCUUGCUUUCAAGCAAUAAUAAUUUUCCAAUUCCAUAAGGUAGCUUAAUGCCUUUUAAGAAUAUCUGCACCAGCCUAACAAUUAAUCAUGGAAAUUCAAUUUGCAUUUAUCACCUUUAAUUUGCUCAUCUUUGUCCAGAGUAUUGUUUUUGCGUUAACUUAACUAGCUUGCAAACCACCUGCAAAUGGUUUUAAAUAAUGUGUGAGAUUGUGAGUUCGAACGAAUUAAUCAAAUAUGAUGACAGGAGAAACAAAAUUGAAAUAAGCACAAGUAGAAGUAUACUUUUGUUAUAUUUAGAUAAUCUUCUACUGUCUUCUUUUCCUUUAGCUCUGUUUCUGUGUGUGCUCAAUCGCGAUGCCUCAAUCUUUUGCAGCCAUAUGCAGACUUGAAACACUGUGGUGUCCCUAAGGAACUUGAAAAUUAGAAAAGUUUCAGUAUGAGUGACCAAAUAUGAUAAUCGAAACUAAUUUAAUAGACACGUCUUGUAAAUCUGAAACUAAAUUACUCGAGUGUAUAUGCCUCUUGGCAGCAAUUGCUCGUGGUGGAAAGUUUACUGCAAAGACUUCCUCAAACCCGUGAAGCUCACACUCUUCCAGGCAACAAAGAAACAGAGUCAAUAUACGAAGAUGAUUUUACUAACAAGUGAGAGCUUGCAAAUAUUGGAAGGAUAACGAUUACUCAUAACCCAAAUCCCCAAUACCUUCUAAUAUCUCACUCACGUGAGUUCAAGCUCCCAAAAUUCAUUACAGUGAAACUCUCACAACAAAAUUGUCUUCAAAGAUUCUCUACUCAAAUUUGAUGAUGAUAUCUAGCACUGAUCAAAUUGGCUUGUGAACAAUUAAGCUGCUUAGUAUCCUUAACCUGAUAAACUUACACAAACAAAAACAACUUGCCUAAAGUUUAAUAUUUAGAGGCAGAACAAUAAAGAAGAAGAUAUAUAUUGAUACUAAAAUUUGACCUGUAUUACCCUGAUGUCAAGCAUCACGGCAUCUCAUGUGGGUAAAAUCUUCACAAUACGAGAUGCUUGCAAAAUUGAAGCAGCAUCUUAUCACCUGUAAUUUAAUUAAGACAAUAACUUUCCCCCACUAUUUCAAUGCAUUAUUGGCAACUACAUUCAGCGGGCGCUAAUUAAAUACCCUUUUAACAAUAUCUUCUUAUUCUUCUCCAAUCUAACAGUUAUUUGGAAAAUCUAAAUGACAGUCAUGCAUCAAUGGCGUCAAAGUUUGGCUACAAAGCAGCCUGGAAAAGGCUUCACUCUCUGAAUGAGAGCAUGAAUUCCAAAAAUAUGAUGAAUGAAGAAACAAAGGCAUAAUAUCACAAGUAAAACUUUUCCCCAGAGCUCUGUUUCUGUUUGUGCUAAAGCCAAUGGAAACCGAAGGAAAUGAAUUUCUACGAAUUAGACAUAUCAGCCAAAACAGGUACUCUGUACAAGCAAAGUAAAAGAGAGUUAAAAAAAAUUUAAGAUUGAUAUGAUAAUUAAAAUUUCAGUCACCAUAUAAUUAAUAGAAAACUUUGUACACAAUGAUUUAUUGCGUAAUAAGACUGCAUACCUAAAUUUUAAUUGCGAUACAAAAUAUGAUAUUAGCAUUAGGAGACCGCACCAAAACGUACCGUAUUGAAUGUGCCUUUUCACAACCAUUGUACAAGCUUUGAAGCUUUGGCACAAAUGCUUUUUCAAACCCAUGAACAUGAGGCACCCGAGAGAUGCAAGAUAUGAAAUUGUUACUACAGCAGGCAUUGAAACAUUUGUUAAGAAAGGAAGUUUAUGAAAAUAUGCCUUAACAUUCAUUAGAUACAUGUCUUCAGGAAUCAAUUCAUCUGUAAUAACAAUUUUCAAAGAGCAUUAACUGCUUUAAGCCCCUCAACAUCACAGAGAUCUUCAAUUAAAAUAGCGCAGAUCCGGCCAUCACUAUUACUUCUACUGCUCUUUUGCUUUAGAAAACCGUUGAACUACAGAAUGCGUGUAAGGCUUUCUUGUUUAAGGUCCAGCAAACCUUGCACAAUAACAACAGAGGCAGUGGUUCCAUCACCAGCCUAAUCCUUGGUCUCACCAAUGUUCUGCACGAGUAGGAAGUCAAUCUAAAAAAUAAGAAUGAGUUGCAAAAACUGUUUAUGGCCCUAAAGAACUUGAAAAUCAGAAAUGAUUAAGAAUGAGUGACUAAACAUUUUAAUCGAAUAAACAUACAAAACUUGAAAACCUAAUAUUGAAGUACUCUGAAUGAAUGUGCAAUUGCACGAGCUGGUGACAACUGACUUUACUGCAAAGGCUCUUUCAAACCCUUGGAGAUGAUACUCUACAUACCAUGAUAACCUGAUAAUACAAAGAAACACAAUGAAUAUUAAAGGAUAUUCUGACAACGCAAAUUUGUGCAAACUAUCAAGUGUGGUUACCUGCAUAAUAGUGUCAACACCAAACUCCUGCCUCCAUUGAUUCCAAGAAUGAAACAAGAUAGAAAUGAUGAUCUUAGCACCUUAACAUCAUGCAACAAUAAUCAUCAUGUCUUUCAGGCAGCUGUCAAUUGAAACAGAGCAGACCCAGCCAUCACUUCCUUCUUUAAAGUCCAGCAACCAAACGUUGCACAAUAACCACAGUGAUAAUUCUUGGUUACCCCAAUGUUCUCCAUAGAGUCUUCAACGUCAGCCUAAAAAUGAAAUAAAAAUGCAAUGCAGGUGGAAAUGAAAAUUCCAUAAACUAAAUAAAUAAAAAAUGCAAUGCUUGAGCUUGAGCUUGCUUUAAUGAUCAUAAUAUUGAAUUUUGAUAUAUCUUUACUUCUCUGAGGUUCAAUCAUUUACUUCUCUGUUCUUGUUUAUUCACAAGAAGUUAUCAAUAGAAGAAGAUGGAAAUGAAAUUCUAUGAAAUAAAGCAAGUGAAUUACCAGCAGAACAGUUUAGCAAUCCUUUGGCUAAACUUCUCAUUUUCUUAGCAUACUCUCCUGCCUGCAUCAUUAAAACCAAAUUAGAUUGGACCUGUGAAUUGCUAGUGUGGUUCUGACAUUUCCUCGAAUCCCUGGUGAACAUAAUUAAACUCGUAUGAAAUAAAACAAAGAGGGCUAAUGUACUACUAAAAACAAUUCCACAAUUACUUUAAAGAAUUAAUGUCACAUAAAUUAUAUAUAAAAAAAACGAUUAUCAUUAUGCAAGACAAAAUUGAUAACUAGGAAGUUUUACAUAUUUAUACCAUGAUUGAUUCUAUAUAGAACCAUUAAAUAAUAAAUAUGUUAGACUUACAUUUAUUUUUUAGCCCAAAAAGUAUGAGAGAAAUUAGUACUUUCCAAAUUUAUUUUUUGUACCGUAAAGAAUCAAAUUACUCAUAAAAUUAUUUUUAACUUUCAUGAUGCAAACAAACAAAUCAUCAUUAAUUUCAAUAGAAAGAAGUAUUCUAGGUGGAAUUGAUUUCUGGAGCAGAAUAUGAUGUAUUUGGGACUUCCUACUCUAUUAGAGAGGUUAAUAACAUGUUAAUUGUCACAUCAUUAGUUUUAGAUUAUAAAUUUUAUAUUCAAACUUUGUAUGACUGCUCCUUUUUCAUUUGAAAAAAAAAAUUAACUUCUAGCAUGAUCUAAUUAAUUGAUCUUAUUUCAAAAGAAUCAAAAAAAUAAAUAAAUAAAAUAAAGCAAUGCCAUAAUCUAAUUGGUCUUGUUAUUGACAUGUACUAAUGCAUUCUAUAUUUUUAACUUUGUACAUUUUAUUGAUAUGUACAAAUUGUCAAUGUUUGCAGUGUCGUUGUUUGAAGUAACAACAAAGUAAAAUAGAGGAGAGAAAUUACCGGUGGGUGAUAGUAAUUGCAACCAUUCGAGAAUUUACCGCCACUUGAUGUGGGGAAUGUGAGAUAUCUUAUGCCAGUCUUCUCCUUUCCCCUCUCGAUAACGGUUUUCCAGAAGAGGACAUCCCUGAAUACUCAAGUGCUGCAGCGUCGUCGUUUGAAGAAGGUAAUCCGGCAGCACCUUUAAUUUGGGGCAAUGCUUAAUUUUCAAGGAAGAAAGACGUGGCAUGAUGGAGAUGUUUUCCUUCCUCGUAAUCCUGUAAUUCCACUCUUCCAAUUCAUCCAAGAACCAAAUUUUGAGAGAUUUCAAUUUGGGGAAGGCAAUAACUGAUGAUGACGAUGAAGAUGAAGAUGGGUCGUCCCAAUAACUGCUUUCUUCUAUUCCUAAAAACUCAUUACCCACUCUUUUUACACCAAUCAAAUUGCAUAGGAUGAGUUUUUCCAGAGGCAAUUUUCCCAAAGGAGGCAAAUGCUCACAGUUAAAACACAAGGAAAGAUAUAAAUUCCUUAGAUUGGUUAGUGAAGUCAACCAUUUGGGAAAAAUGACGCCUCCAUAGGAUUCAAUCCAUAAUUCCUCUACAUUCAAAGGCGGUUGUAAGGCUUCAAGAAGUUGUUUAUCUUUCUCGUUCUUCCUCCUCCUUUCUUCGCCUUCCCCAUCUACGACUACACCAAACUCAAGACGCAAACGAAGGAGGUUUUUCUUAUUGUAAAGUUGUAACCUCUCAGCCUCAUCUACAUGCGAUACAUUACUCAGCCCUUCUAUUCCACAUUCUCGAAGGAGUUGAAGAUUUUUCAGAGAUUCAAGCCUACACGUGCUGCCACCAUCAACACCUCCACCCACAACAAACUUUUCUAAUGUUCGAAGGCUGGUCAAUCUGGAAAUCCCUAUUGGCAGGUACUUCAGCUUUUCAGUUUGAUCAUUCAGUAAACUCCUCAUGUUCUUUAACUUCCCAAUCCCCGCAGGCAAUUCUCUAAGAUAUUUGCACCGCCUAAUAUCUAGUUUUUGUAAAUUAUAUAAUUCACACAAAGUCUCAGGUAGUCUCGCUAUAUACAAUUUAGACAACUUAAGAUAUUUUAAAUGUAUCAAUUUUCCAACAUUAUCUGGAAUUUCUGUAAUCCAAUUUGUGUCUUCAUACAAAAGCUUGGUCGAUUGGCUUAUAACUAAUGCCCUUAAACAUGCCAAUUUACUAAAUAACUCCCGAAGGAUGCUACUGUUAAGAGAUAAAUUGACAAAACUUUGGUCAUAAAUUAAUAGGGUACGCAAUCUAUUAAGUCCAUAAAUGGUCAUAGGAAAUGAAGCUCCUCCUCCAAAAUUUAACCCUAAGUGACGGACUUUGUCACCAAAAAAGUUUAUGACUGAUUCCUUGGUACCAUUAAUUUCUAGCCACAAACAUUCUUUGCUACUUACAAAUUGGGCAAAAUCAUGUACUAUGUCAUGCAUCUUACACCACAUAAAAUCAUCAUCGUCAUCAUAUAUUUUAAACUCUUGAAAGAAAGAGCGUGUUGCUAAGAUGUUGAAAUACUCUUCUCCAAUCAUCUCCAUUUCUUCGUCUUCUUCUGCAUUAAGGUAACCUUGAGCCAUCCACAGAUCAAUCAACUCCUCUUUAUCCAUCUCGUAGUCUUUUGGAAAGACAACACAAUAUGAGAAACACCGUUUUACCAUAGAAUUGGAGGGCAAAUCGUUAUAACUCAACAACAAAGGAGCUAAAAGACCUUGCCCAAUCUCUUCUACUUUCCACAUUUCACUAUCUAAAAUUAUUUGCCACUCUUUUUCUGUAAUUUUAGAGCGCAAGAGAUUCCCUAUUACCUUUGCAGCAAGAGGCAGGCCUUUGCACUUCCGUGCAAUUUUUCUCCCGAUUGGUUCUAAUUUUUCACGAUCCUCAAAGGACCUACGUAGAAAUGCUAUCUGCUUAAACAGUAACCAACAUUCCCCUUCACCCAACUCCUUGACAGGGAUAAUAUCUAUUGAUCCCAACUGUAGUGCAACUGACCUAUCACGUGUGGUAAUUAGAAUUUUACUUUCAUGGCGGCCAUUCUUUAGACAAGAAAAGAAUAGGUCCCAUUUUUUGUAAUCUCCAUCCCACACAUCAUCUAAAACAAGAAAAAAUUUCUUCCCUGUAAUAUAUUCCUGAAUCUGUUUCAUAAGAGAUUCGAAUUCGCUUAAACCAGAAGCUGACACACCUAAACCUUCAAUGAUUGCUUUGGCGACCCUAAUCUCCUCAAAAGUGUCUGAUACACACACCCAUAUAACUUUGUCAAAAUUUCUUUUCACCUCAUCAUUAUUAUAGGCUAGUUGUGCAAGAGUGGUUUUACCUAUACCCCCUAACCCAACUAGUGAGAUGAUAUGAAGGCCUUCUUGUUGUUCACUACUUUCACACAACAACUUGCUUAAGAGCUUCUUUUUCUCAUCAUCUCUACCGCAAACCUCUCCCUCAUCAAUCAAGGAGAUGGUUCGCACUCGCUCUGGAUUCCUAACAUUGUUACUCACAUUCUCAACAAAAUUAAACCUAUCUUUUCGAGUGGCAAUAUCAUCUAGCUUUUCACUGAUUUCUCUAAUCUUGACAGCAAUAUGAUGACGAAGACUGAGUUGUUUGAAACCACCAAAGCAGUUUGAGGCAGCAGGAAAGAAGGAACAUACCUUCGUCAAAAAAGUAACAAAAGCACUGUCGUUAUCAUCAUCAUCAUCAUCGCCUCGCUCAUCAAGCUGCAAUUUCCGUGUUUCAGUGAUCCACUCUUCCAACACAUCUUCCAUGUCGUAGGAUGCGUCUCUGAGCUGAUCCAGCCAAAAAGUAACAGCUUUGUCCUGCUUCAUUUGCCUCUGCUCUGCAUCUUCCAGCACAGCUUGAAUGGCUUGAAGAUUGGUGGUAAGCUUUCCCACUUCAUGUUCGACACCCGUGACAAGCCUCCACUUUUCUUUCACCUGAUCUUGAGCAAUGGAUUUCAGCUGGUCCAGGAGAGAGGAAACGAUCGCAUGAGCCAUUCUGAUAUUAGAUCAAAUGGUAAAUGCUGCAAUUGCUUUUCGUGCUGCUUAAAUGCUCAGAGGAAAGUAGCUUUUAUGUAUUCUGAGAGAAUGUUCAUUCAAGCAUGUUUGGAUUCUUCUUAUACUAAUUGGAGAUAUUUUAAUUUUUACCCUCAAGUCAAUGUCAAUGUGAACGUUCUUUUGUGCUGCAAAUUGAAGGAGUCCCCACAGGAGUCACCGUCGUGGGCUAGCUUUCUGCGGAGUACACAGCAUCAGCACUUGUAAAAUUUCUUACAUUUGUAUUUAGUUACUUGCCGCUCUUAAGAUAAUUAGCAACAAAAUAUUUGUAAACUGCAACAAAAAGCUCAGUGCAAUCUAUCUAUGAAUCUUGUGAGUUCACAUAUAAUACAGUCGAUUUAGAAUAGUCAUAAAUUUUUUUUAAUUAUAAAUAGUAGUAUAUUUUUAAUGGUAUAAUAUAUAUCGAUGAAACUAUAUAGAGUAAUUUCGCCUAAUUGUAUAAAUUCAUUAUGAAUAUCAUCACAAAUUUGUAUUUGGUCGGGACCGUGCGAGUGAAAUUUUUGAUAAAAAUCAUCUCCUGACAAUUUAUUUAUUAUAUUUUUCAAUUUAGCUUUAACGUAUGGAUCCAUUCCUUUUAUUAUCAGGUAGGCCAAAGCCAUUUGGUCAUUUGAUCCAUUCCUUUUAUUAUCAGGUAGUUCAAAUUUGUAUGGAUCCAUUCCUUUAGUUGGGACUUGGAAUAAGAUUAAAGAAAAAAAAGUUAUCCAUUUAUGAGACUUUAAUUUAUGUCAUUAUUGUUUAUUUAUAUUUAAUAUUAAUCAUGAAAAUUAAUAAUACCAUCAAUUAAUUGAUUUUACAUACUUUUUUAAAUAUUUGAUAAGAAUUUGAUAAAAAAUUAAUUAAGUAUUUAAAUUUUUAUUCAUUUUUUUAUUUGUUUAUUUUAUUAUGAAUACCCAAUAACUUACAAUAUGAUUAAUUUUCUUAUUCAGACUACUCAGCAUCAGCUCCUGUAAAAUUUCUUACAUUAUAAGCAACAAAAUAUUUAUAAACUACAACAAAAAGCUUAGAUCAAUCCACCGAUGAACCUUUUGAAGUUAUAUAUAAUAUAUUAAUUAUUGAUCUAGAAUAGUCUUAGUGGAUAGAUUUUUUUAAUUAUAAAUAUCAAUAAAUUUUUUAUCGUUUAAUAGAUAUUGAUGAAAUAAUAUAGUGUAAUUUUGCCCAAUCAAAUUAAUCCAUUAUGAAUUUCAGCACAAAUUUGCAUGUGGUCUGGACCGUGCAAGUGAAAUUUUUUUAUUAUAUUUUUCAACUUGGCCGACAACAUCUUUUUGUCAGGUAGGCAAAAGCAAAAGCCAUUAUCUCUAUUAUGCCAUGACAAACUCCAAGAUCUAAUUUAGAGAGCGACAACUUUUGUUAUCAGGUAGGCAAAAGCCAUUGUCUCAUUAAUUCAUUUGGUCAUUUGAAAAAGUUGUGGCUCUGUUUUAGUCCAGUGUCAAUAUAUAACUUUAUUAUGUCAUCACAAACUUCAAAAUAUAGUUUAGAGUGUGACUCGAAUAAUUUUAAUUAGUAAUUUAUUAUAUCUACAGUCGGAUACUUUGUUGAGAAAAAAAAAAAAGAAUAAAAUCUGUCCCAUAAUGAUUUUAAUAAAUAUCAUACUAUCGUCCACGUACUUGGGCCAUCUUCAAUAUGACACCAAAUCUAACACCAAAUCACCUUUUGUAUCAUUUUUAGUAUAAAAUACUUCUCUAAUGUAACACUAAAAGCAACACCAAAAUAGUGUUAUGAAUAAUAUUGCAUCAAAUAUGGUGCAACACUAUUCAUUUGGUGCUAGGAAAAAAAAGUCCCAAAUAUCCUUACUACCUUUUCUUAUUUACAUAUAUGUCCUAUUUUAUAUAAUAUUUUAAGUUAUUAUUAUUAUUAUUUUUGUUAUUAUUUUUUUUUCAUUUUUUUAAUUUUUGAAUAUUAUACUAAAAUUUUAAAUAAAAAAUAUUUAACACAAAAAUUAAUAAUAAAAAGAAAAUGCCAAAUUUAAUAAUUUUCUAUAUUUCUUUUGUUAAUCGAUAUAAAAUUAUUUAUUACUUAAUUAUAUGUAUUAAUAGUAAUAUUUAUUGUGUUAAUUGAAUUAAUUCUUGAAAUUAAAAGAAUAAAAAGAAGAAUAUUCUUUUUGGUGUAAAUGGAUUGGAGAUGAAAUAGCAAUUUGGUGUGAAAAAAGUACAUUUUUGGUGUAGUAUCACUAUUGUGGUGAUACUAUAGUGACACAAGAUACUGACGCAAAAAUCACUGACACCAAAAAUUAGUGUCAGUGUGUUCUAGCUUGAGCAUUACUGACACAAUUAACAAGUGUCAGCAAAAGUAAUUACUGACACUAAAGUGGUGUCAGUAAAGCCCAUUUUUCUAGUAGUGAAUUUUUAACUCAAUCGCAGGGCAUAAUAGCCUAGGUUGUUCUGCAUUUGGUUCGACUCAUCGCAAGCUUGGAAACUAUAUUAUAUGUCCAAAACGAAUACUCGUAACCCAAUUUCUAGCCUCGGAAGAUACCCUGCUUAUUCCAUGCAACAAUCUUAUAUCAACUUGCCUUCUCUGCAUCUUCAAGCACAACUUGAAUGGCUUGAAGAUUUAUGGUAAGUCACAAGCAGCAAAGGAGUUCAGCUGCUCCGGGAGAGGGGAAGCGAUCACAUCCAUUCUGGCAAAGAAAAGGAGAAAUAAUUUCAUAAGUUGUUCAACGUGCUUUUGUUGCAAAAAUACUGAAAGAAACGAGUUGUUGCAUUCUUCUUACACUACACGAAAAAUGUUUAUGGUUAUUGUCGCCUAACCCACGCGUCAAUAAUUUUAGCAUUUUUAAUUUUCCUGAUUCUACUCCACAUCUGUGAUACAUAAUUGUAAAUAUUCUCUAAUUAAUUUGUAGUGGUCGGGCCAGUGCCAUUUAAAACGAAAACAAAAAACCAAAAGAAAAAAAAAACAAAAGUUGGAAAAAAGCAUGCAUCACCGAUAAUUCAUUUAUUUAUUUGAGGACGGGGAUAUUUUCUACCUACUUAUUUUACAAAUCUACCUCGCUGUCAGAAAAUAAUUGUAAUACGUUCAUACUAUUUUUAAAAUAUAUAAAUCAAUAAAACGUAUAGACAAUCAAUAAAUUAAAUCAUUCAUAUAAUUUUUUAUUUUUUUAACUUAGGUGUCUUUGACCAUUUAGGUUGCUUUAAGAUAAGUUUUAUUUGACUAAUUUACCAUGAUAAUAUAAAAUGACUAAAAUACCCCAAGAAUCAAGAGUUCUUGUAUAUAAUAGUUUAGGUAUUUUAUUUUAUUUGAUUCAAUCUCCAAACUUAUUGUAAUUACAUCUUCUUUAUUUCAAUUUUUAAAAAAUAAUUUGAACUUAUUGUAAUUAUUUCUUGAGAGUGGGGUGGGUUUACAAAAAUUAUGGGCCUUUUCGUUUAUUAAUUCUUGGAAAUUAAUGGCUCCGUAAUCAAUUUCUUUUGUUCUUUUAUUUAAAUAGAAAAGAAAAAUUAAGAGGAGCUUUUGUCUAUUGAAUUGAGGUUCUGUGAAGAAAAAUACGUAUCAAAUGAUCGACGGAUUGUACUUUUCAAUUUUUUACUUCACAGUACUUUUCUUUAUUUGCUGGGUCAUUUAUGUUUUUUUGGACGGAUUUAAGUGUGCUUAUACAUUUUAUUGAAUUUUAUUUUGAUAAAAUCACCAACGAUCAGAAGAGAUUUACACUACCUAUCUGAGUAUUUGGUUCUCUAAUGUAAGGAAGCAUGUAAUCUUUCGCCAAUAAUUUUUUAUUUCAUCAAAAUGUUAAAAUGUUGAAAGGAGAAUUAGAUUUAUUUUUUAUAUAAAAAAGAGAAUUAGAGUUCAUAUUGUAGAAAAUUCUUUUUCCUACUAUAAGUCCAGUUCGAAUCUUUGAAGCAAAUGAUCUAAUCUCAAGCAUAGAAAGUAGGAAGAUCGAUUGAACAGCGGACACAUUAACAAAAAAUAAUUACUUUAAAAAGUUAAUAUUGGAUAUCACAAAACUUUUAUUAUUAUUAUUGUAAGUUGGUAUGUUGAAAAAUAAACAAGCUUUAUAUGAACUUUAAACACAGAUAAUAAUUUGCACGUAGUAAAAUUGCUUAAUACAUCCAUUAUUUUAUCAUUUUUAACUUUAUCUAUCGGUUAUUUUCAUUUUGAAAAUAUAGGAUAAAUGAAAUAAUAACAAACACAUAUUUCAAUUGAAAAUUUAUCAACUUGAAAACACCAUUUUCAUUCUCAUAAUAUGAAUUUAAAAAUAAAAUACAGAACAUGCCCUAACAUUUUCUGAAUUUAUUUUUAUACCGUAAAAGAAUCAAAUUACUCACACAAUUAUUUUAGCUUUUAUGAUAUAAACAAAUAAUCAUUAUUUAAAUUCAAUAGAAAGAGGUAUUCUUGGUAGAAUUGACGUCUUUAGCAAAAUAUAAUCUAUUUGGGACUUCUUACUCCAUUAGGUUAAUUGGCUCAUCAUUAAUUUUCGAUUAUAAACUUUAUAUUCGAACUUUGUAAGACCAUCAUUUCUCCCUUUUUAUUUUAAAAAAAAAAUUAACUUCUUGCAUGAUCUAGGUGGUCUCCUUUCAAAAGAAACCAAAAAAAAAAAAAAAACUAAAAUAAAAGGAAAUAAAGCAUAUUCUUUAUCUUAAUUACUUUCAUUUGUUAUUGACAUGUACUCAUGCAUUGUGGUCUUUUGUAUACUUUAUCGAUAUGUUUUGCUUAAGGGAUAAAACUCAUUAUGUGGCAAAAUUUUAUUAGAGCUGGGAUUAUUUAUCUGUGUUCUAGUACUUUGAGCAUCUUACUAUACACUCGUCUAUAAAAUUUUAACAUUAAUUUUUACUACUCAUCGAAAUAUCAAAAUAGUCCUUACUAAACAUCUCUCAUUAAUGUUCUGUAACGUAUGUGAAAAAAAAAUAAUAAUAAUAAGAGGAAGCUGGGUAAUGUUUUAUGGGCGAGAGGGAUAGAGGAAGCUGUCAAACCGACCCGGAAAACCCGACCCAAAACUGCGAACCCGACCCAGACAUAUCUCCGAUUUUCGGCCACCUCACCGGCCAUGGAUGGUAGCAACGAAAGCUCCUGAGCCAGCCAUCACUUUCCCACCGUCACUGUCGCCAAAAACCAACCGAAACGCCGCCGUUUGAAGCGCGAAUAGUCGCAGCCAAAACCUAUCACGACCGUCGUUGAUUCCGUCGGAAUUAGGCCAUGCCAGACGGAGAAAUGGUAGGGGGUAAACAGAGUUUGUAACGGAGGUGGGGUAAAUGGAGGAUGAUGUAGAGAGGGCAACCAACGGCCAUGAUGAGGGAGAGGAGGAGGAGGAGGAGGAGGAGGGUGAGGUUAUGGACGGCUGUGAUGGGCUUGAGGAUGUGGGGUCCAAUGAGAGGUGAUGAUGGUGGUGAUGUUGAUGUUGAUGUGUGGUAGAGGAUGAAUGUGAGGGAAAGGUAAGUGAGGAUGGAGAGAUACGUAACUAUUAUUUAUUGAAAAUUAAUUCUUUAAAUACUUUAAAAUGUAAAAUUAUUAAAUAAAAAUUCAUUCUAUUGUUGUUAAUUCACAAAAUUUUAAUUCAAUUAUAACAUUUCUACUUAUUUUUUUAAGUUAAAUUAUAUCUUUUUUAUUUUUUUUUCUAAAUUAAACUAAUUUUUCUAUUCUUCUAUUGUCUAAAGUUUUUCGACAUAGUUUUAUUUCAAAAUAGAUAAAACAAGCACAAAAAAAAGUGAUGAAUAAAAGAAUAUAUUAAAAAGAAAUAAGAACAAAUAACAACACAACUAAUUAAGAGAAUAAUAAAAAGAUAAAAUCAUAAAUUUGAGAUGAAAUCAUAAAUUAACUUAUAUUUAUAUUAAGGCUAUUGUUUGAAAAUUUGAGUAACGACCAAUAGUCAUAGAAAAUAGAGAAAACUAUUAGAUUUUUUCUUUUUCUUCUAUAGUAAAAAGUAGAGGAAGCAAGAUUUUUUCCCCUCUCUCUCUUUCUUUCUCUCAAACACCAAGAUGUCUUCAUUAUUGGAGGAAAAAUUUAAUGGAUAAGUAAUAAAAUGUAGGGCUUUUAUAGAGGUUCAAAAUAAAUAUAAAACUUUUGAAAUAUAACUUAUUAAUUUUAACAAUGAAAUAGAUAAUUUUUAGGAUUGAAACGAUUAAUUUAUUGGUUUUGUAGAAAUUAAAACAAUUAAGUACUACAUUAAAUACACUUUAUAGGAAUUUGAUAGUUUAUUUAGAAAAAAGAUAAUUACAAAAUAAUAAUAAAUUAAAUGAAUAAUAAUGACUUUUAAAUUCAUUUUCCUCUUUUAUAUACAAAAUAAUCAUCUCAUAGGACUUUUAUAUAAAGUGGAGUUCUAUGCAACUGCCUAAGUUGCCUAGAGGUCGAGCCGCUACUGAUUACAAGCCAAUAUUGGAGUGUUGAGGUAACUAGAUAUGAAGCCAUGGCUGGUUUUUGGGGGAGAAAGAUUUGGAAGAGAUUAUGUUGAGAGGAACGGGGGAGUUCAUAAAGUUUUAGGAUAAUGUGGAGGGUAUUUUGGACAUAUUACCGUCUUAGCUUAAAUUUUGGGAAAAAGAUAAUCAAUAAUAAACUAUUUUUUCAUAUCAAUUUAAAACUCCGAGUGUGUCUCCAAAAAUUGUUUUCUUUUUUUUAUUAUUUUGGAUUUUAAAUCUUAAAUUUAGUAAAGGAAGUUAAAUCAAGUGAUCACUUUUUUUUUUCAUGCAAAGCAAUUAAUCUUUUUUGUAAUUUAAGCAAAUAUUGGGUUGCGUACUUUAACAAUAUUAAUAUUUGAUUCGAAAUUUCAUCUACCGAAACUACAAAAAUUAUUAUUUUCUAUUAAAUCAAAAACAAAAUUAAGAAAUAACUUAUUAUCUGCCAACUGUCAUUCAACAAAGCCAUCACUCAUGCAAAAAAGGGAAAAAAAAAGUGAUAUAUUCAUUUUAACGUAAUUUCAUACCAACAUAUCAUCCUUUUCUUUUGAACAAUGACCUCUUCAAUAAUAAAAUAUGGUAAAAGAGGAUGGGUUUCAGGUCUGGCGUCCGGGCCUUGGUGACAAUGGCAUCUUCUGCUCAAUCAAACUUGUGGAUUACGUGCACUCAACGUCGACAAUAUGGAAAUGGGAGAAAAUUAUGUUGAGUAACAUCUUGUAUGGUCAACGCGUCGAGUAUGGACUUGCAUGAUCGAGUCAGUACAACUAAAGUCGGGUAGAGUUUGGUAAAUCUCUAUAUUGGCUUGAGGUUGGACAACUAUACCUUUUAAGCUACAUAUUUAAACAAUUUUAGUAAAUAUUUACUAUUUUGAUUUAAAAAUUAAUUUGAUUUGAUCUCAUAUUUUAUUAUUAAAAAAUUUAUAAUAUCUUUAAUAAUUUUAUUAAAUUAUUAUUUAAAAGUCAUACAUUUACUGCACAUUAUCAACUUUCUGCUAUUUUUUUUGUUCUCACAACAGCUAGUAAUAUCAAACAAGAGCUAAGUUAAGUAUGAUCAAUUAAUUAAAGUUUUGAUUUUUUGUAUAAAAUAAUCCUUAGAUAAUUAGUCUAUAUAGAAUAUUGGCUACUUCAAAUGGAAACUUGUGAUCAAAAGUGUAAUUCCCUCUAUCAGUGAACUAUACUUGCCAGGAAAUUAACCCCAGGCGAGUACCACCACCUCCUACUAUUUCUUAGGUGUCUCAGAGUUUGAUGAGGACUUCCAUGACGUGUCUCUUCGACAGGCAGCGAAAUUGGGCAAUUGACUACAUUAACUCCAACAAAUUUAUGCAGUCACCUUCCUCCGGACUAUCCUCUUUCUUCGCGCUUUAGUUGCCCUUAUUUCCCCUUUAAUACAGUCAACAUUAUCUUGUUUGAUGCCAAGGAGACCAAGCCCAGAAACAAUGGCAUUCUUUGAUAUCAACCACCUGGGGACUUUUGAGCUGAGCCAUGACAUCCUGAGAUGGCCUGUUGUGUAAGCCUUCUUCAAAAGGUCAUCCGUUAAUCUUUCUCCUAAUUAGACAUUCAAAACCCUGCAUGGAAUCGAUUUGAGAAGUUGGACAAUAGACAAACUCCAACACAUAUAGACAGUAAAGAAGAAUUUAGACCGCAAUCACUGUGGCUCAACAAAUGGGCCUAUUAAAGCCUAUUAAAAGUUGGAACCAUAUUCACCACUCGCAUUUCCUUAAGAGAGCUAUACCAGAAUUCUGUAAAUUUAAAACUUUUCUUACAUAAUUAACUGUAAAACAAGAGAAAUUGUACUUCCGUAGCAAAGUCUCACUAUUGGUAAGUAUCUGGACUUGGAAAGGAUGCUAGUUGAUGAAGUAAAGGAAAAUUGAAAUCAGACUUUGAGGUGACAGAUCUAUACACUUCAAUAGGAACCACAUUGACAUCAUAUGAGACAAAUAAACAUUCCCCAGUCAAAGUUUAACAAACAAAACAUUAAAACAAGAGUAGGUUGGUCUAUCAAUGUAUAUAUAGACAUGUCGAUCAAUAGACAAAUACGUAAAAGAGGGAGGGAGAGACCUCAAAGCCGUGCUACUCCAAUAACUUCAAAAUUGUUCGUGACCACUCUAUCAAAUCCACGCAAUAGUUGCAUACACUCACCGAUGGGUUUGUCACAGAUAACCUGUUAGGCAUUAAAAAUUGCCCAAAUUAAACAAAUGUUAGACCAGCUUAGACAGUAAACGGAACAAUAUUCUAAUUUUACUUUAUUUAUAACGAAUAAGUGAACAAAGGAAUAAAAAGGAAUUUUGGCAAAGAAUCCUGCAGCUAAUCCCACCAUACACCGCUCUGCAGGCUUAUUUGGGAGUCAAAAUUCUCAAAAUGUACUAAGAAAUGACAUUUGUUCACUAAUCCCACCAACAAGGAGGAAGUGACGUGAAGAGAAUUUACUAAGAAAUGCCAGUGUAUUAAUAUUGAAGGAAAACAUUCACUGACGACCAAAAUCGCUGAUAUAUGCUUAAUUUCUCACUCACUAAGAACGUUCAAUUCAUUCAAAUGAAACUUCCACAGGAAGGUCUCAUUAUUAAGGCUUUAGCUUCACCUCACAUGCUCAACAAUUCAAAUUUGAGGAUGAUAUUUCUCCAAAUGGAGGGCUCUAUUUGGCUUGCCAACAAUCUUCCUCACAACUAUCAUCCUUGCUAUAUCGGUUGCACUGAGCAAUCUUCAUUCUGACAUUUGCCCUAUUAACCUGAGUACACAAGAAUCCGAAACAACUGUUAGAAAUUUUAAUCUUUAUAUACAGCCAAAAUGGUGAAUAAGAUGAUGUACUGAUAAUAAAUACCUGAGUUAAUAAAUAAUUAAGGGGCCGGUAACAAUCUCAGCAUCUUAUCAAGUGGGGAAAGCCUUCGCAACGAAGAUGCUGCUUGCUUUCAAGCAAUAAUAACUUUCCAAUUCCAUAAGAUAGCUUAAUGCCCUUUUAAGAAUAUCUCCACCAGCCUAACAAUUAUUCAUGGAAAUCCAAUUUGCAUUUGUCGCCUUCAAUUUUCUCAUCUUUGUCUAGAGUAUUGUUUUUGCAUUAACUUAGCUAGCUUGCAAACCACCUGCAGAUGGUUUUAAAUAAUGUGUGAGAGUGUGAAUUCAAACGAAUUAAUUAAAUAUGAUGACAGGAGAAACAAAAUUAAAAUAACCACAAGAAGUAGAAAUAUACUUUUGUUAUAUUCAGAGCAUCUCCUACUGUCUUCAUUUCCCUUAGCUCUGUUUCCUUUUGAGCUCGAACGCAAUGCCUCAAGGCUCAAGAUAAUUUGAUGACCAUCAAUCUUUUUGCAGCCACAUGUAGACUUGAAAAACUGUUGGCGGCCCUAAAGAACUUGAAAAUUAGAAAAGAUUCAGAAUGAGUGACUAAAUAUUAUAAUCAAAACUAAUUAAACAAACGCGCCUUGAAAAUCUGAAACUGAAUUAAUCAAAUGUAUAUGCCCCUUCACUGCAAUUGCACGUGGUGGAAAUUUUACUGCGAAGACUUUCUCAAACCUUGAAGAUCACACUCGGCCUGACAACAAAGAAACAAAGUCAAUAUACGAAGAUGAUUUUACUAACAAGUGAGAGCUUACAAAUAUUUGAAGGAUAACGAUCACUCAUAACCCAUAUCCCCAGUAUUCCCUAAUAUUUCACUCAAGUGGGUUCAAGCUCCCAAAAUUCACUACAGUGAAAUGUCAAAACAAAACUCUCUUCUCAAAUUUGAUGAUGAUAUCUCUCGAAGGGAGGCAAAAGAAUCUAACACUGAUCAAAUUGGCUUGUGAACAAUUAAUCUUCCUCGCCAUCAUUCAUACCAGGUGCGGUGAACAAUCUUCAUUCUGACAUUUGCCUUAAUAAGCUGCUUAGUAACCUUAACCUGAUAACUCACACAAACAAAAACAACUUGCCUAAAGUUUAAUAUUUCGAGCAGAACAGUAAAGAAGAUGAUAUCUAUUGAUGCUAAAAUUUGACCUGUGUUACCCUGAUGUCAAAAGUCAUAGCAUCUCAUGUGGGCAAAAUCUUCGCAACACGAGAUGCUUGCAAAAUUGGAGCAGCAUCUUAUCACCUGUAAUUUAAUUGAGACAAUAACUUUCCCCAACCAUUUCAAUGCAUUAUUGGCAACUAAAUUCAGAGGGUGCUAAUUAAAUACCCUUUUAACAAUAUCUUCUUAUUCUUCUUCAAUCUAACAAUUAUUUGGAAAAUCUAAAUGACAAUCAUGCAUCGAUGGCAUGAAAAUUUGGCUACAAAGUAGCCUGGAAAAGGCUGCUCUCUGAAUGAGAGCAUGAAUUCAAACAAAUAUGAUGAAUGAAUAAAUAAAGGCAUAAUACCACAAGAAGUAAAACUUUUCCCCAGAUUUCUGUUUCUGUUUGUGCUAAAACCAAUGGAAACCGAUGGAAAUGAAUUUCUACGAAUUAGACAUAUCAGCCAAAACAGGUACUCCGUACAAGCAAAGUAAAAGAGGGUUACAAAAAAUUUUAAUAUUGAUAUGAUAAUUAAAAUUAUAAUGAAAAUUUCAGUUACCAUAUAAUUAAUAGAUAACUCUGUACACAAUGAUUUAUUGCAUAUUAAGAUUGUAUACCUGAAUUUUAAUUGCUAUACAAAAUAUGGUAGUAUCAUUAGGAGACCGCACCAAAUGUACCGAAUUGAAUGUGCCUUUUCACAGCCAUUGUACAAGCUUUGAAGCUUUACCACAAAUGCUUUCUCAAACCCGUGAUCAUGAUGCACCCGAGAGAUGCAAGAUAUGAAAUUGUUACUACAGCAGGCAAUAACCACAGUGUUAAAACAAAUGUUUAUACAGGAUAAAUGAUUCCAAGAAUGAAACAAGAUAGCAAUGAUGAUCUCAGCACCUUAACAUCACGCAAUAAUAAUCAUCAUGUCUUUCAAGCAGCUAUCCAUCCUCAAUUGAAACAGAGCAGAUCCGGCCAUCACUUCCUUCUUCAAAGUCCAGCAACCAAACGUUGCACAAUAACCACAGUGAUAAUCCUUGGUUACCCCAAUGUUCUCCAUAGAGUCUCCAAAGUCAAUCUAAAAAUGAAAUGCAGGUGGAAAUCAAAAUUCUAUUAACUAAAUAAAAUAUAAAGUGCAAUGCUUGUGCUUGAGCUUGCUUUAACAUCAUCAUAAUAGCGAAUUUUGAUACACCUUUACUUCUCUGUGGUUCAAUCAUUUACUUCCCUGUUCUUGUUUAUUCACAACAAGAUAUCAAUAGAAGAUGAUGGAAAUGAAAUUCUAUAAAAUAAAGCAAGUGAAUUACCAGUAGACCAUUUUAGCAAUCCUUUGGCUAAACUUUUCAUUUUCUUAGCACACUGUCCUGCAGUACUGCCUGCAUCAUUAAAACCAAAUUAGAUUGGACCUGUGAAUUGCUAGUGUGGUUCUGACAUUUCCUCGAAUCCCUGGUGAACAUAAUUAAACUCGUAUGAAAUAAAACAAAGUGGGCUAAUGUACUACUAAAAACAAUUACACAAUUACUUUAAAGAAUUAAUGUCACAUAAAUUAUAUAUAAAAAAAUACGAUUAUCAUUAUACAAGAUAAAAUUGAUAAUUUAGUUUUCGACAUUACUGCAAAUGUAUGAAGGAGAUUUUGUCACUCAGGAAGUUACACAUAACAAAUUUCCGUACAUUAAAAAAUAAAUUACAUUGGGAUUUUCUAUGAUGUUGUAUGAAAUUUUACAAAAAAGCACAUAUUUUUUAAAAGUAAAUAAAUAUAGAAAUUUCAACAGACUAAACUUGUAUUUUUUUUUUAUUUAAUCUUUAGAAAACAAGUUUAACAUAUUUGAUAACUAGGAAGUUUUACAUAUUUAUACCAUGAUUGAUUCUAUAUAGAAUUAUUAAAUAAUAAAGUAAUGCCAUAAUCUAAUUGGUCUUGUUAUUGACAUGUACUCACGCAUUCUAUAUUUCUAACUUUGUACAUUUUAUUGAUAUGUACAAAUUGUCAAUGUUUGCAGUGUCGUUGUUUGAAGUAACAACAAAGUAAAAUAGAGGUGAGAAAUUACCGGUGGGUGAUAGUAAUUGCAACCAUUCGAGAAUUUACCACUCGGACUCGAUGUAGGGAAUGUGAGAUAUCUUAUGCCAGUCUUCUCCUUCCCCCUCUCUAUAACGGUUUUCCAGAAGAGGACAUCUGUGAAUAAUCAAUUCCUGCAGCGUCGUCGUCCGAAGAAGGUAAUCCGGCAGCACCUUUAAUUUGGGGCAAUACCCAAUUUCCAAGGAAGAAAGACGUGGUAUGUCUGUUGUCUUGCGAUCUUCUAGAAUGGGCAGUUCUUCUAGAAGAUCACAAAAAUAAAUACGCAGUUCCUGCAGUGCCGUCGAUUGAAGAAGGUAAUCCGGCAGCGCCUUCAAUUUGGGGCAACCUCUAAUCCACAAGGAAGAAAGACGGGGCAUGAUGGAGAUGUUUUCCUUCCUCGUAAUCCUGUAAUUCCACUCUUCCAACUCUUCCAUUCCCCCAAUGUCGAGUGAUUUUAAUUUGGGAAAGGCAGUAACUGAUGAUGACGAUGAAGAUGAAGAUGGGUCAUCCUCACUGCUUUCUUCUAUUCCCAAAAACUCAUUACCCACUCUUUUUACACUUUUCAAAAUGUAUAGUUGGAGUUUUUCCAGAGGUAAUUUUCCCAAAGGAGGCAAAUGCUCACAGUUAAAACAAAACCAAAGAUUUAAUUCCCUUAGAUAGGUUAGUGAAGUCAACCAUUUGGGAAAAAUGUCGCCUCCGUAGAAACAAAUCUGUAAUUCCUCUACAUUCAAAUGCGGUUGUAAAGCUUCAAGAAGUUGUUUAUCUUUCUCAUUCUUCCUCCUCCCUUCUUCGCCUUCCCCAUCUACGACUCCAUCAAACACAAGAUGCAAACGAAGGAGGUUUUCCAUAUUGUGAAGUCCUAUUCUCUCAGCCUCAUCUAAAUGUGAUACAUUACUCAGCCCUUCUAUUCCACAUUUACGAAGGAGUUGAAGAUUUUUCAGAGAUUCAAGCCUACACGUGCUGCCGCCAUCAACACCUCCACCCACAACAAACUUUUCUAAUGUUCGAAGACUGGUUAAUUUGGAAAUCCCUAUUGGCAUGUACUUCAAUGAAUAAGUUUGACCAUUCAGUAAACUCCUCAUGUUCAUUAACUUCCCAAUCCCCGCUGGCAAUUCUCUAAGAUUUGGGCACCGCCUAAUAUCUAGCUUUCGUAAAUUAUAUAAUUCACACAAAGUCUCAGGCAGUCUCUCUAUACAUAAUUCAGAUAAAUUAAGAUAUUUUAAAUGUAUCAAUUUUCCAAUAUUUUCUGGAAUUUCUCUAAUGAAAUUUGGGCUAGGAUGAGAAAAUGAGGACAACUGUCUUAUAACUAAUGCCCUUAAACACGCCAAUUUACUAAAUAACCCCGGAAGGAUGCUACUACGAAGAGACGGACCUUUAUCAUAAAUUAAGAGGGUCCGCAAUCUAUUAAGUCCAUAAAUGGACAUAGGAAGUGGAGCGCCUCCUUCAAAAUUUAAUCCUAGGUGACAGACUUUGUCACCAAAAGAAUUUAUGACUGACUCUUUGUUACCAUCAAUUUCUAGCCACAAACAUUCUUUUCUACUUACAAAUUGGGCAAAAUCAUGUACUAUGUCAUGCAUUUUACACCUCAUAAACUCAUUAUCGCCACCGUAUGUUUCAAACUCUUGAAAGAAAGAGUGUGUUGCUAAGAUGUUGAAAUACUCUUCUCCAACCAUCUCCAUUUCUUCGUCUUCUUCUGCAUUAAGGUAACCUUGAGCCAUCCACAUAUCAAUCAAUUCCUUUUUAUGCAUAUAGUGGUCUUUUGGAAAGACAGCACAAUAUGAGAAACAUUGUUUUACCAUAGAAUUAGAGGGCAAAUCGUUAUAACUCAACAACAAAGGAGCCAAAAGACCUUUCCUAAUCUCUUCUACCUUCCACAUUUCACUCUCUAAAAUUCUUUGCCACUCUUUUACUGUACAUUUAGAGCGCAAGAGAUUCCCUAUUACCUUUACAGCAAGAGGCAGGCCUUUGCACUUGCGUGCAAUUUUUCGUCCGAUUGGUUCUAAUUUUUCACAAUCCUCGAAAGAGCGACCGAAAAAUGCCAACCGCUUGAACAACAACCAGCAUUCCUCUUCAGCUAGUUGUUCAAUGGAGAUAAUAUCUAACUCUAUUGUUCGCAUCAUACGUGCAACUGACUCAUUACGUGUGGUAACCACAAUUUUACUUCCAGGAAGACCAUUCUUUAGACAAAAGAAGAAUUGAUCCCAUAUAUUAUAAUUCCCAUCCCAUACAUCAUCUAAGACAAUAAAAAUUUUUUUUCCUUCAAUUGAUCUAUGGAUAUGGCUCAUAAGAGAUUGGAAUUCGCUUAAACCAGAAGCUUCUUUUGACUCGCCUAGUCCUUCAAUAAUUGCUUUGGCGACCCUCAUCUCAUCAAAAGUGUCUGAUACACACACCCAUAUAACUUUUUCAAAAUUUAUUUUCACCCCAUCAUUAUUAUAGGCUAGUUGUGCAAGAGUGGUUUUACCUAUACCCCCUAACCCAACCAGUGAGAUGAUAUGAGGAUGUUGUUCGCCACUCUCACCCAACAACUUACCUAACAGCUCAUUUUUCUCGUCAUCUCUACCAAAAAUCUCUCCCUCAUCAAUCAAGGAGGUGGUUGGCACUCGCUCUGAUUUCUUAACAUUGUUACUCACAUUCUCAACAAAUUUAAACAUAUCUUUUCGAGUGGCAAUACCAUCUAGCUUUUCACUGAUUUCGCUAAUCUUGACAGCAACAUCAUCACGAAGAAUGAGUUGUUUGAAACCACCUAAGUAGUUUGAGGCAGCACGAAAGAAGGAACAUACCUUCUUCUUAGGAGGAGCAAGAGCAAGAGCAUCGUCAUCAUCGCCGCCCUCAUCAAGCUGCAAUUUCCGUGUUUCAGUGAUCCACUCUUCCAACACAUCUUCCAUGUCGUAGGAUGCGUCUCUGAGCUGAUCCAGCCAAAGAGUAACAGCUUUGUCCUGCUUCAUUUGCCUCUGCUCUGCAUCUUACAGUACAGCUUGAAUGACUUGAAGAUUGGUAGUAAGCUUUCCCACUUCUUGUUCGACACCCGUCACAAGCCUCCACUUUUCUUUCACCUGAUCUUGAGCAAUGGAUUUCAGCUGGUCCAGGAGAGAGGAAACGAUCGCAUGAGCCAUUCAGAGGAAAGUAGGUUUUAUGUAUUCUGUGAGAAUGUUCAUUCAAGCAUGUUUGCAUUCUUCUUAUACCAUAUGAGAUAUUUAAUUUUUACCCUCGAGUCAAUGUCAAUAAUUGUACAGCGUCUGCCCUGUUUCUCUGAUUCAUAAUAAUUCAUUGUUAAUUCUGCAGAGUACACAGCGUCAGCACUUGUGAAAUUUCUUACAUUUGUAAAAUCAUGCAGCCGACCCUUGUGAACUAACUAAUUAACUAAAUUUUCUUACAUUGUCAAUAAGUUAUGAUUAUUGUGAAUUUUCCAUCCCCUAUAUAAAUUCUUAGAUUUAUUUAAAUUGUGAGUCAUAGAAGUAUAUUACCUAAAUUAUUUUAUCAGGCCAUGUUCCGAUACUAGGAGUAAGUACGGAAUUGGACUAAUUUUGUGAUUAUCUAUUUAUCUCAUAUUUGAUAAGCUUAAUUGAAUUGGAUUUAGGAACCAAAUUUAAAUUUAAUCCUAAAAUUAUGGAAUUGAUAAUCCUAAUUUACGCAUAACUUUAGUUGGGAUAAAAUUAAAGAAAAAAAGUUAUCCAUUUAUGAGACUUUAAUUUAUAUCAUUAUCGUUUAUUUAUGCUUAAUAUUUAUUUAUUUUUUUUAAUUUAUGAUUUACUUAAAAUUUAUUUUUAUUUAUUAUCUAUCAUCUGAUUAAAUUAGAACUUUACUUCUACUAACUCUUGAUAUUAAUUUUUCAUUACUUGCAUAUUUGAUAAUUUGUCAAUAAAAUUAACCAUUUAAUAAUUUAUUGCAUAAUAGAUUGUAUUAAACUUACUAAUCACUAAAAAAAUAUUUAAAAUCAUCAUGAAAAUUAAUAAUACCGUCAAUUAAUUGAUUUUAUAUACUUUUUUAAAUAUUUGAUAAAAAAUAAUUAAGUAUUUAAAUUUUUAUUUCAUUUUUUUAUUUGUUUAUUUUAUUAUGGAUACCCAAUAACUUGCAAUAUAAUUAAUUUUCUUAUUCAGACUACUCAGCAUCAGCUCCUAUAAAAUUUCUUACAUUAUAAGCAACAAAAUAUUUAUAAACUACAACAAAGGGCUUAAAUCAAUCCACCGAUUAACCUUUUGAAGUUAUAUAUAAUAUAUUAACUGUUGAUCUAGAAUAGUCUUAGUGGAUAGAUUUUUUUUAAUUAUAAAUAUCAAUAAAUUUUUUUUAUCGUUUAAUAGAUAUUGAUGAAAUUAUAUGGAGUAAUUUCGCCCAAUCAUAUAUAUUAUAACAAAAGUUGGAAAAGAGAAAAAUAAAACAAAAGUUGGAAAAAUCAUGCAGUCGUUGGGAAUUUCGAAAUUUGAGAAUUUUGCCCGUAGCUACAGGCUGCAGCGAUUUUUGACUUUCAUGAUGCAAACAAACCAAUCAUCAUUAAUUUCAAUAGAAAGAAGUAUUCUAGGUGGAAUUGAUUUCUGGAGCAGAAUAUGAUGUAUUUGGGACUUCCUACUCUAUUAGAUAGGUUAAUAACAUGUUAAUUGUCACAUCAUUAAUUUUAGAUUAUAAAUUUUAUAUUCAAACUUUGUAUGACUGCUCCUUUUUCAUUUGAAAAAAAAAAAAAAAAUUAACUUCUAGCAUGAUCUAAUUAAUUGAUCUUGUUUCAAAAGAAUCAAAAAAAUAAAUAAAAUAAAAUAAAGUAAUGCCAUAAUCUAAUUGGUCUUGUUAUUGACAUGUACUAAUGCAUUCUAUAUUUCUAACUUUGUACAUUUUAUUGAUAUGUUUCUCUUGAGAGAUAAGAAUCAUUAUGUGGCAAAAUUUUAUUAAAGCUGGGAUUAUUUAUGUUCUAAUACUUUGAACAUUAAUUUUUAAUCUACUCUUUAGAAUACAAAAAUAAUCCUUACCUAAACAUCUUUCAUAAAUGUUUUUUGCUGGGGCUGCUAAAAUUCAUAAUCUAAUAUUAGUUGAUGUGGCAUGUGUCCUAUCACAUAAAUGUAGAUAAUAAUAAUUAAUUCAUUAACAAAAUGAAAAAUGUUAGUUUACAAAAUACAAAUCCGAAUUUUUUGUGUGUUAGAGGGAAUUUAAAAGGGAGAGACUAAACAAAUGUGGUGACAAAUUACACGUAUUACCAAAAUUGAAAAUACAAAGUUUAGGCAACUGGAAACAUCUCUGUCAAUGGCAAUGAACCCAUUACCUCCAUUUAUAAUUAACCAAAAAUCAAAUAAAUUAAAAAAGAAAACACAAAGCAAGGAUAACUACUAGUUGUUUUGAUCAUCCCUGCUUCUUUUUCUUAGCAUAGCUCUUGUAAUGAAAAUUAACAAAAAGGGCCAAAAGGGAAGCAUUAAACACAGUAUUGAAGCACCAACCCCAAAACACAGGGAAACCAAAUCCCGUGAAAUGAUAAUUCAGCAUCAAAAUGAAAAAUGUUAUGGAUGGCUGUGAUGGGUCUGAGGAUGUGGGGUCCAAUGAGAGGUGAUGAUGAUGGUGAUGUUGAUGUUGAUGUGUGGUAGAGGAUGGAUGUGAGGGAGAGGUAAGUAAUGAUGGAGUGAAUGAGGAUGCGUGGGAAGGAAGCUAGGGUUUGGUUUUGAGUCCAUGUGAAGUUGAGGACUUGUGGGUGGCUUACAAGCAAUAUUGGAGUGUUAAGCUGAUUGAAUUUGAACAGUGCUACUCCAAUAACAUCAAUAUGGUUGAUGACCGCUCUAUCAAAUCCUUUGGAUAAAUGAAUUGACCGCUCUAAAAUAAAUGAAUGAGAUAGGAUAAAUUCGAAUAAAUUAAUCUGCAUAAUGACACAAGAAACAAAUAUAAAUUGACCGCAAGUAGAAAUAUACUUUUGUUAUAUUUAGAGCAUCUUCCAAUUUCUUUCCCUUGAGCUCUGUUUCUGCGAGUGCUCAAAAGCAAGACACAGGCCUCAAGAUAUAAUUAUCAUCAUCAAUCUUUUGCAGCCACAUGCAGUACUUGGAAAAUGUUUAUGGCCCUAAAUAACUGGAAAAUCAGAAAACAUUAAGAACAAGAGACUAAUCAUUUUAAUCGCAACAAAACAUGCACACUAUGAAAAUAUAAAAUUGAAUUACUUCGAAUGGAUGUGCCUCUUAACAGGAAUUGCACAAGCUAAUGAGCAAGUGAGCCUUCGAAUGAAAAUCUAAAUCCUUGCAGCCUGCGUCAUGCAGCUUCUCCCAAUGAGUAAGUGAACCUUGAACAGUUAUCACUCAGCUCAAACUAAAAUGAAAUUACUGUGGACAUGUGAAUUAAAAAUAGAUGUAAAAGUAGUUUUCUCAAAGCAAAGUCAAGAUAAGAGAUUAACUCUAC